rnacentral:lncRNA from 1 species
ACCGGUCUACCUCCGCGGCAAGGGCCUUGUUCUCGGCCAUGACGCCUUCUAUCUGGUCAAAGCACCGUUUCCGGUACUUCGCCGUUUUCAUUGCGUCCUACAAAGCAAGCAUAUAACGACCAUGCAAGACAAGGCAAAAGAAUGUGCAGCAGUGCAAAAAGCCGCUUACCUUGACUUCGUCGACGAGGCGCUUGGCCGCGCGCUCCACCCUGGCGGCCUCUUCGGUCUCGGCGAGCUCCUCAUGCCCGAUAAAGUGAUCCCCGCGUUGGCGCCACACAUACACGUGUUGGCGGCCAUCACGGGGACGACCCUCGAUCUCUUCCACCUCAUCAUCGGAGGCCGCCCGGGUUUCCUCCUCCUGUGCUGCGUCACCCCCGGUGGUGGUCCCAGGUAUUACUGGCCCUUGGACCAGACCUGGGGACCCCGCAGCAGAGGAGGCUCCUGCUCGGGGCGGCGUGGGGACUUCACUCCCCCCGGCAGGAGGAGCGGUCGGAGAUCUUCCCUUCUCUGAGGAGUCAGUUGGGGGAGCCUCUCCAGCCCUGGUCGGGCUACUUGUCGUAGUCGGUGCCGCUCUCGGGAGCCCCUCGGUGCUCCCAGGCGCGACUGCAGCUGUUGGCUGCUCUGUGGUCUGGGGGGCCGCAUCCCCAGAACCGCGGGCAGGCUCGCCCGUCCCUUGGCUGGCAACCUGGCCGGGGUCGACAUCCGACGCCGCACUACAGGAACAAAAGUCAAAUUUCAAAAAAAAAAAAUCAAAGAGGAGUCCAAAAAUACGUAAGUCGAACACUUACAGGUCUGAUCGACGGUGGGUGGCGGUGAACCUCCUCCUCGCCCGGCCGGUCGGCACCUGCGCCCCCGUCUCGACAACUUGCGGUGCAGGGGCGUCGCUGGCCACUCGAUUAGUAGCGGCCGGCGCAUUAUCUGGGCGACCCCGGGGCCGUCGGACCAACGACGGCGCAGCCUCCUCGUCGUCGUCGUCGUCGUCAACGAUCCGCACGAGCCGACGACGCUUCGGUGCUUGGCUGCUCUCCGCCGGAAGAUCCGCCGGCAAAGGAUCUGCCGGCAAUGGCCUCUUCCCCGCUACCCUCCCCUCGGAGGUCGGGAUGGGGCGGGCUUGGUCCUCUUCACUGCUGGUGUAAUGAGUACACCGAGCAGCGUCCUCCUCUGGCGGGUCUUCUCCCGCAGGAUUUUCCAUCCCCGGUGCCAGUGAUACAUACACUGUGCACCGGUCGACACCGCCGAUCUGCAAAAGCAACAGAGAUGAGUCAACUGCCGACGAUAUACGAAUGCUAAAACAGAAUCUGCUACAUACCUUUGGUGCUGGUCGUCCUAACUUGAAGGCUUGCACCCGAUCACUGCCACGGAUGAAGCCUCCGUCCGCGAAGUUAAACAGCUCGUUCAACAGCUGUUGUACCUCCGCUUUCUCCAAGAUCUCCGACCGCAUCCUGGUCGGGUCUGCGCUUCCGGCAUACUCGUACGCCGAGUGCACCCUCUUCUGGCAGGGCAUCACCCGGCGGCAAAUGAAGUUGCCGACCACGCCAAGCCCGUCCAGGCGCGACCAGUCGAUCAGCUUCAUGAGAUCCGCCACUGGACCGUCGAACUCCGGGCGGUCGGUCCAGCUCGUCCUCUUCUCAGGAAUGUAUCCCACGUCGCAGAACAUGGAGCUGCCCGGUUCCUCCCUGAUGUAGAACCACUUCCUGUACCAUUCGGUCAAGGAAGUGUUCCAUGGACAGUGCAGGUAGCGAUUCUUCAUUCCAUCACGAAGGUUGAGGUAUACUCCACCUGCAACCUUGGAGCCUCCAACUGCUCCCUUCUUCCUCAAGCAGAAAAGAUACCGGAAAAGAUCGAAGUGCGGCUCUAUGCCAACAUAGGCCUCGCACAGGUGGAUAAAGGUGGAAAUGAGGAGAAUUGAGUUCGGGUGCAGAUUGCAAAUCCCGAUCUCGUAAUACAAAAGAAGACCUUGAGGAAAAGGAUGAACAGGAACACCAAAACCCCUCUUAAUGAAAUCUUCAAAUACGACGAUCUCACCGGCACGAGGGUCGGGGUAGCUCUCCCCUUCCGGUGCCCUCCAGCCGCCGAGCUCCGGGCCGUGCAGAAGCCCCAUAUCGACGAGGUCACCAAGAGAUUUUGUGGUGCUGCGAGACUUCUUCCACUCCUUGGCCAUCAGUUCGGCCCUCUUCCUGGAGUCGCUCUUCGCCAUUAGAGGUGCGAAUGUGGGCUUGAGUUAGGAAGAUGCAGGAGAUUGGAGAAGAUGAGAGCGGAAGGUUUGAAGGCAAUGGCAGGGUAAGCGGUACAGGCGGACCUAUUAGGCUCUUAUCAGCCCGCAACUCCACCUCUCCCACUUCCUGUAUUCUCGGGAAGUGGGCAGGCCAUGCGGCGGACGCGGCGUUUCGGUUUACAAUGAUUAUAGACAAUUAAUGCGGCGGAUUUUUCGUACCAAUUGAUGGUUUCCUUUACUCAAACCAUGCAAAGGCGGUUGCACAAGUUGCCAGGCGCAACUUUUCAUGCAUCCGUCUGACACCCCGUCAGGAGGCCUCGUCACGUCAAUUUUAACUGGGAAGAUCUUUUCAAAAAAACAAGACGAUACAUACGCCAGAAAGUCAACAAUCCGGGGACUGCACCGACCAUCGGGCAUUCGACGCUCGGGGACUGGUCGCCCAGUCUAUCAGCUCGGAAUUUCAAUGACUGCGCCGACCACCGAGCACUCGACGCUCGGGGACUAGUCGUCCAGUCUAUCAACUCGGAACUUCAAGGACUGCGCCGACCACCGAGCACUCGACGCUCGGGGACUAGUCGUCCAGUCUAUCAGCUGGAAGCUUUAAAGGACUGCACCGACCACCGAGCACUCGACGCCCGGGGACUGGUCGCCCAGUCUAUCAGCUAGACGCUUUAAAAAACUGCACCGACCACCGAGCACUCGAUGCUCGGGGACUGGUCGUACAGUACAGCGACACAGGAUUCUAAAAAACACUUGGUGCUUGGUGACUGGUCGAUUAAUCUAUUCAAUUGCAGUCAGACUGGUAAAUUCCACUUUUUAGACCUCGCUACAAGGCUCAUACUUCGCCUUCCAGCAAGCUCGGGGACUACAUCGGUACGAUGCAUCUGGCGAUGCAUCUCAGUUACAGAAUUUCUUUGAGGACUUUUAUUUUGACCCUGGCACCACGUGCCUACGUCACCUACUACCAGGCUCGGGGACUAAGUGGGCACACUUCACCUUGCGGUGAAUAUGCUUGCUUUUUUGAGGUCUAUACCUUUCAAAAAAGUAAAGUGGGCACACUUCACCAGGAAAGAAAUCUUUUUUGAUUUAGAGCACCAUGCAUUCUUCGAACAACCUGCUUCUUUGAACCUGCUUCUUCAAUGUCAAUGUUGAUCAACUGUCUUUUGAGUUGGUCAAAAUACCGUUGCAACUGUUCGGGCAACUUUCCUGAAGACGUCAAGCCUCACUGAUCGAAGAAGCUCAAGACGGCGUGUUACACCAUAAUACAUGGUGCUCGGGGACUAGCUGUGGGGGUAUAAACCCCUAUACCCUUACGGCUGGACUUGGGCCAGGAGGCUUGGCCCAUUACGAGGCGAGUCCAAAGCUUGAUCCGACAACCUGGAGUCCCGCGCAAGGAAACAAGAUGUGGAGAUCAAGCAGGAUUCUGGUCGGUUAGAAUAGGAAUUGAUAUCGAAUUAUCCAUGGCAAUUGUAACCGACUAGGAUUAGUUUCCAGAUCUGUAACCCUGCCCUCCAGACUAUAUAAGGAGGGGCAAGGGACCCCCCUAGGACACAUGAUAUUCUCUCAACACAAAUCAAUACGACCAGACGCAGGACGUAGGUAUUACGCCAACUCGGCGGCCGAACCUGGAUAAAAAGCUUGUCCGUGUCUUGCGUCACCAUCGAGUUCGUAGUUUGCGCACCGUCUACCGAUAAACUACUACCGUGGGUAUACCCCAAGGUAGACUGCCGACUAGCUUUCGUCGACAUCCUCCAAUGCAAUAGAGAAUAUGUAGUUUAUUUUUUUUUCAAAAAGCGCCGAACCCUUCUUCGCAAUAGAGAGAGAAAACCAAACCCCUCUCCACCUAUUCAACCCUUGCUCAAAUAUUCUAACCACCAAGUGUAUCACCUCGUGCAUGUGUGUUUGCAUAUUUUCACAAACAUUUCCAAGGGUUAAGUUAGCACACUAGGUUCUAAAUGUGUCGGUGUUUUUUCCCCGGGGGGGGGGUUCACACCAACGAGUAAAUUUAUAUGCGUGCUCCCCUUUCCGGAUGGUGAUGCAAGAAGACACAGAGAUUUAUCCUGGUUCGGGCAAGAGAAGGCCCUACGUCCAGCGGGGGGAGAGAGUUUGUAUUAUCUCGCACCUAAGUGCUUGUACAGGGGCGAAUACAAGCGUGGAAUGAAAUGUGUCGCUCUACCACGUGUGUGUGUGUGUGUGUGCUUGUGUUGUGAUGAUCCCCUCUUCUAUUCCUGAGUCCCUCCUUUUAUAGCUCCAAGGAGAGACACAGGGUACAUGCAUAGAUGUUAGAGUAGGGAUCGAUAGCCGCAUGGAGCGCUGACCUACUCGAGGCUUCCGUACGGCAUGGCCUCGAGCCGUCCCAUCUUGAUAGCUUGGUGAUGAUUACGCGUGCUCCCUCGUGCUGCCCUGCCAGCCGCCUUGUGCUAGUUCUGAGGUCGCACGCUCGUAGGGUAUGGUGGCGGAUCCGGCGGAGUAGCUGUGGCGUUGUCAGUCGACGCCCGACUUGUCCCUGGGAAGGGACCUUGUUUGGUCGAGGGUCGGGCGCCGCGUAUUACGCCGAUAUCUGGAGCGCUGACCUUGGGUGUCUCGAGGGGGUCCCGAUUAGACGUUCCAUCCUUGUUUCCUGUGUCCUGACUCGCCCUGGGUCGUUCGGUGGGAAGGCUGCAAAAGGAACGAUGGGACAGAAGCUUGCUCCCUAUCACGCCCUCCGUGGCCUGUGUGUUAGGUGGGGAAGCGUCAGGUGCAUUUAAUGCUUCGGCUCGCGUGCGCGCGUCGGGCGGCGGACAGUGUCCUCACGCCUGGCACCUCUCAGUUCGCUCGAGCUCGCUUCCGUCAUCGAGGGCAGUCGUCGUUCGAGUCCUGAACCGAUUCGCUCGAGACUAUUUCCGUCUUCGAGGCUGCGACUGUCGAUGGCGGCACGUGCGUAAGAUGAGAGCGUCGAAUUAAGGGUCUCGACCUUCGUACGGGCAAUCUCAUAAUGCGCCUUACUGAGGGUACCCCUAACCGAUACCCUCGACAAAAUGCAUGCACAUAAACAAUGUCACCUAGUGGCACUCGAUAGACCGCUUAGCCAAAGAAUUCCUCUUUUUAUAGUACGACUAUUUAUCCUAACUAUGAUAACACUCUCUAUGGUAUCUUGAUCACCAAAACUAAAAUCCUAAGCAAUUCCUAUGCCUUGAUAUCCAUAAAGUUUUGCUUUUUCUCUUUCUUGUUUCCAAGUUGUGCACUUGAUCAUCUUGUGGCCAUCACCACCAUCACCAUAAUCAUCUCUUGCUCCAUCACUUGACAUGUACCAACCUCAUCUAAUCUAUACACACUUAGCGUAGCGGUUAGUACUUUGGAUUUCAUCAAUUAUCCAAAACCAAACUAGGGCUUUCAAGCGUAUGGGAAGGAAGAUGAGGAUAGGGAUUCGACAGAAUGGUUGGGCGGGUUAGCUAGGGUUUAGGGAAUUUUGUUAUGUCCUGUGUGCGACCCACAAGGGUGGCCUUUUGGUGUGCGUUGCCAAUUUUUCGCGUGAAGAGCAUGGAUGGGGAGGAAAGAAAUUAGCUCCUGACGGCAAGGUGAAAUCUCAUGUUUGGUUUUGAUAAUUGAUGAUAUCCAAUGUUGCUAAUGCUUUGCUCUAAGUGUGACUAGACACAUAGCAACAUGAUGAUGAUGCCUACGGCUCGGUGAUGGACUUAGACAUGGUGAUGAUCAAGCAUCGAGGCUCAAGGCCAAGGUAUAAAGAGAUAGGUGUUUUCCCUUUUGGUGAUCGAGACACUAUAGAGAGUGUGAUCAUGUUUAGGAUCGAUAACCGACUAUCAAGAUGGGAAUUCAUUGUUGAAUUUGCGGUCCAAGUGCCUCUAUUUUGACUUUGCAUGAUGCAUAUGAGAGACUAACUAGAAAGCUAACCCUUGCCCUUGUUCAUCAUGUUGUAAUGCUAACUCAUGUGGUUAAGAGUGUUCUACAUGUUGGAGUUGGCACCUAAGGCAAGUGGUUCGAGUUGGAUCGACGACGGCGUGAGGAAACGACGAAGUUAGCCUUUGUUUCGCUAGACAGACGCUGGUCGGGUGUCCGAUGGUCGCCAGACGCGACACAGAGAAGGCCACAAAUUGGAAGCAUCACGAGACGCUGGCCACGAGGGCCAGAACGGUCUGGCGCAUGCAAGAGAGCUGCGGACUGCGGUUUCACCAGACGCGCGCGCGACGGACGCACAGUUGGUACUGUGCAACAUCCGGCGCAUGCAAGUGUUGUCAGUUGUGGACUCGAGCUAGAUGAGAAGGAUGGACGCUGGAUCGUGCGUCCAGCGGUCACUAGACGCUACUCAGAGAGGAUUGGUCGUGGGCCGAGCCGCCGGACACGGCACAGGAGGCGACGGACGCUGACGUGUCAUAGGAUUCAAAUGUAACGAUCGUCUACUAGGGAGUCCGACGCAUGCAUCAAACGCGUCCGGUGUGUGUUCCGAAACAUGUUUUGAAUGAAGAAUCCAAUGGCUAGUUUGCGAAAACGGCGCCGGACGCGUCCGUCUCUUGUAACUCGGCCGCCCGAAGUGCAUAAUGGUUGGGAAGUAGGGGCUAUAAAUAGAUGGUUGGUCGGUUGGGGAGCUACCUCUUGCCCAUUCUAACUUCUUUGAGCAUCCUUUGAGCUAGAGAGACUCCUCCCCACUCAUCUUUUGACUUGAUUGAGCAUUGUUGACUGAGAUUGAGUGAGAAUCAAGUGCUAGCAUUGAAAGUUGCAUCUAGAGGCACUUGUUUUUCGAUUUCGCUACGAAGUUCUUGUCACUCUUGGGUGAUUCCUGUCACCCUAGACGGUUUGGAGCAGUGGGUGGUGUUGAGCUCGAGUGAAGAUUGUUCGAGGCCACACCGGUGAUCUUGUGAGAGGUUCUUGAUCCUUCUCCGCGGGAGAUUCGCGAAAGGAUACUCUAGGGAUUGUGCGUGGCUUGGAGGAUCCUUGUUUUGUGUUGAGAGUGCUGCUCCCGGCUGCGGUAUUUGGCAUUGAGAGCCAAUUGAGCGAGCAUCUCUCCAAGCAAGUGUAUCACCACAAUGAGAACUAGCUUGCCGGGAAACAAGUGAACCUCGGUAAAAAAAAUCAUUGUGUCAAUAUUGUGAUUGCCGAGGAUUCUCUUGUGUGGUUAUCUUGAUUGGGUGAUUGGCCGUCUAUGCUUCACGUCGGUAUAACAAUCCAACCCCCUCUCUUGUAUCUAGCUUUACUUUUUUGUUAUUACAUUACUUGUCUUGCUAGAUAUUGAGUAGAACUUGCUAGCUUGUGUAGCUCUUACUUGUUCUUUUUAUUGCCCGUGCUAGUUUAGUGAAGUGCCUAGGGUUUUCUUGUUUAGAAUUGCUAGGCUAGUUGUUGAUAGGGUGUUAGUUGUUUAGCCUAUUUGCUAGACUUGUUAGAAAGGCUUGCAUGGAAGUAAUUGAAGCUCUAGCAUUGCAAUUACACUAUCUCUUAGUCUAACAAGUGGUCUUGUGUUUUUCCAAGAUAUUUUAUUAGGCUAUUCACCCCCUCUAGCCUUUUGGACCUUACACAAGGGAACCGAUAGGAAAUAUCUCUCCUGACAGUUUCUAGAGACUGGCACGUUUCUUUGGUUUAUUCCUGAUGGUUUCCUUAUUUACUGUCGGCCCGAAGCAACUGACAGGAAUGUUUCAAGUCUUUGCUAUCGGUUUUGUUGCACCGACAUGAGUCUUUACAUAUUAUUGUCGGUUUAUUAAAAACCGUAAGUAAAGUUAAGAACCGUCAUGAAUUAUCCUGAGUUUGGUAGUGUAUUUCUAAUUGGUUAGCAUGUCGUGCACUAUCAGGAGUCCGUGCCAUCUAGGUCAUCUAUCCUUCCCUGUCCUCCUAGACCACCCUAAAAACAUUUUGUCUCCUGGUAAGCCUCGUCUCUAGUAUUGUAGGAUGUAGCUAAUUCACUACGGUAUAAUUUUUAAAUCAAACCCUACGUGCAGUGACCUGACUAGCUAUACCACACAAUACUACAGAAGUGUUGAUUUUGAUCACUCUUAUGCCAAUGUCCUCGUUCCUAUCUCCAUAUAAGGAGAAUGGCAUUCCAAAACCAUCCUUGAAGCCCUAGUGACACUGAGCCUGUGGAGGACGAAUGGUGUCAAGCACUUGACAAUUCGUGUAAGGAGGAGAUGAUGGGAAGUAAGACACCUCCUCUAUUGCAAAUUUUAAGUUAUUUAGAUUUUUCUAGAUAUAUAAUUUUUACUUUAUGUUUAGACAUAAUAUAUAUUAGGUCCGUAGCAAAAACUAUAUAUCUAGAAAAGGUAAAAACAACUUACAAUUUAAAAUGGAGUGAGUACAUCAAAGCCCAAAACAAUGUUGUUCGACCUACACUUUCAUUCAGAAAAAAAAACGUACGCCAGCAUAGUCCAUAUAACGUAUGGGUCCGACAUGUGUCAACUGUGCACACAACACGUGCGCAUCUUCUCAUCAAGGCUAGCUACCACAUCAGUGACACGUCGAAAACUGCCACACCCACUGAGAGCAAAGUUGAUUUCCAUUUCUCCCUUUCCUUUCCGGUUGCUGAACUUUCUUUUCUUUGCACAUGCCCCCACAAAAAAAAGUAUUUUGCAUAUAUAUAUAUAUAUAUGUGUAAUAUGCACCCACACAAAAAGAAAAUAUAUGCAUGCCCAUGUGUCAAUAACCUAAGACGUCUACGUGCAGGACGCUUAGUAUCUUGACGUACUACGUCGUCGCUAGCUACCGGCGAAACUUUUUCAAAGCGUGUUGAAGGCCAUGACGAAACUAUAGCUAGACCCGAGCGCGCCAACAACGACAAGCGCCGAGCUUACGUCGGCUUUCUCGGACGUUUUCCCGGCCAGCAGUAGCAGUAGUGUCACACGGCUGCACUGCACUGCAUGCCUCGCGAACGUUUGGCCUCGAUCGAUGGCUUUCUUUGGACAUUUUCGAAGAGGCUUUCUCCAUGUUCGACUGGAAACUGUUGCCUAUAGCCUGUACAUUGAUUGUUCCAGCUCUUACACGUACGUACGUCAUGGUUGUCUGCUGUUCAAAUUUGCCAGUCUUUCCAACUAAUUAAUUAAUAUAAUAUAUACAUGAGAGUGGGUAGUUGAUGAGUUGGGGUUCAAAUGAACCGAAGAGGAAAAAUAGUUUCCCGGCUGAAAAUUUAACAUCCUAAUAACUGGCCACUUAUAUUAGAUGGAAUGACCUACUUGAUCGAUAAAAUGGAAAUAAAGAGAAAAAAGGCCUACCAAAAUUAGUUCUUGGGAGGAUGGAUGAGCGUGUACAUGCAAUGUACUACUAUGUACUGCUGUGCAAUAAUACAAGUUACAACUGCGCGUGGUUGUCGUUGUCAUGCAUCAGGAAUGCAUGUCAAAUGCAUCAAACUAGCAUAUAUAAUACGAGUUACAACUCUCAGGUAAUUUAAAUGUAUAAUAAGAUAGAAUAAGGACACUAAGUUUACUUGAUGUAAUGUGCUGAGAUCGAUCCUACAUCUCGUCUUGCAUUUCUAUUGCUUGUGUAUCCUUUUGCAUUGUUAGAUGAUAUCUAAUACACGCGGUUCCCGUAUAUCUUUUGGUAGUACCUAGCCCAAGCAAACAGCUAACAGGCCGGGCAUCCUAUGUGCACAAGAGGAUAGAUAGAGCUUGAGUGUCAACUAGUGAUAGCGUCAUAUAUAUUAUUAAUUCCUUCACGCAGAUGUUGUUUUGACAAAAAGAGUAGUGUAAAAAAAUAAUUAGCUGGAUCAUCAAGAAAUAAUUAAUAGUGUGGGUACUGCUAACAAUUAAUAUUACAAAACGAAAAUUUUCCACUUUAUUUGUGCCACUUGUGCAACUAGCAGGUAGGAAUUUUAUACAUAAUUAUUAGUAGGAUAUAUAAUUUCAAAUAGGAAAUUAGUGCAUAUAAGUUUUGUAUAUGAUUACACAGGAAAUUGCAUCGCUCACUACGCGUGAUUUGGUUGGAUAUACCAACAGUGUAGGUAUAUGCUAAUCAUAGCCACACAAGCAAGUGAACUUUAUACGUGUACUCGAAACGGACAACAAUAUCGUUAGAACGUAUUUUGUACUAUAUAGGGUAUAACUUGGUGUCUACGCAAUAUACUUCCUCAGUAUGUUUGCUACUCUCGCCAAAAUAGCUCUUGUUAGCACUACUCUCACAUGUAGAACACGAUAUAUGGUAACAUCUUAGAAGUAAUAAUGAUGUGAGUCAUCAUAGAUACAAAAUUUGUACACGUGCAAACAAAUACUAACAAAAAGGUCUGUUGGAUCUAACAGAAAUUAGGUAGUAUUUGUCCGAUGCAUUAGCAAGACUAUACGAAAACACAGUCACACGCAUGUCAAUGCAUGCUUGCAACCUACAAACAUCUAAGAAACCAUAACAACCUUGUGAAAAUGCACGCUUGCAAGCCAUAUAAACUUCUAAAAAGCCAAAACAACCCGGGGGAAAAGUUUUUGCGGGUGUGCCCCGUGUGUGAUGGCGAGAGGUAAGCCCCACGCACGCAGUCGGUGGACCCAAUCCUCAGACGCUUCACGACACCGCUUUGCCUGCGUGAGCAUGCCCCCCGCUCCCAUCCGCUGUACCCCCCUCUCUCUCUCUCUCUCAUACUCCGAGUUGUAUAUAAAAAUACUCCCCUCUCCUGUAUAUUUUCCCGGUGUGCACAGAUAGGCUUUGGAAGGGGGCGCAAGGAGAAAUUCCAGAAAUUGAUUUAUAGUGGGGCAUAUAAGAGUGUGGGAGAGGAAAGCAGCAGGAGAGAAGAGAAGAGAGAGAAGGAAAAGUAUGACAAGGAAAUGAGAGAAAUGGGAGAACAGCCUUCUUCUUAGCCCCUCCUCUCUCCACCACCACUGCUAUCUCUCCUCAGUAGCAGCAAUAGCAAGCAAGAGGAGAGGAGCAAAGCUAGCUGCAGUACCAGGGAGAGUGAGGUACAGAGAAGAAACAAACUCACUCGAAUUCUUUUUUCCUGUUAAAAAUAUAUUUAUAUAUCUGCCUCACUGUAUGUUUGUGUCAUCAUAUACGAGAGUAGUCUGCGGGGGUGUGGGUGUUUGCGAGCUUUUGUUGUUUUGCUUUUUUACUUGUUUUGAGUGCAACUGUUUGUUUGGAUUUCCCUGUCCACUUUGUUCUUUUGUUAAUCUCGGAAGAGUCCUAAGCGGCCGAUGCCUUGGAGUUUUUCUCGGCUGCCUGUCGAUUUGUUUCUUGUUUCAGAUCAAUUCCAAUCCAAGCACAUACAUAUGAGAAAGGUCUAGCCAUCAGGAAUUUUGGGGCCUCCUUCUCUCCUCUCCUUUCGGUAGUUUUUGUCUCCUUGGUUCUGUCGGGCUCCUCGCUCCUCGAUUUGUCUCCGGAUCGGAGGAACAGGCAGCGAAAUCUGUCUCGUCUCGCUCCCAUGGUCGUCGGCGUCGCUCGCAUGCUGUGUGUGUCUUUAAUUUCUUGGAGAUAUAUGCCGUUGUUGAUUGCCAUGUCAUCGGUCUCACUUGGAAAGUCUCUUGCUUUGUUUCAGCGAAGAAGGAGGGGGAAGGACGAAGAGCACUGCCGCCAAUCCUAUUCCUAGCAACGGGCCAAAGCGACCGGCAGGAAGGAGAAGCAGUGUCGUUGGCGUGCUGGAGCUGGUGGUGCCUGCAGGAUAAAUCGGGAGGCGGCGGCGGUAGUGAUGGCAUCGAAUUCAUCGGCGGCGGCGUUCUUUGGCGUUAGGGAUGGGGACCAGCAAGACCAGAUUAAGCCGCUGAUAUCACCGCAGCAGCAGCUGGCAGCGGCGCUGCCCGGCGUGGCAGGCGCUGUGCCUGCGGCGUCCGGCCAAGGCGCGCCGACCGCGGCGGCGCCGCAGCCACCGCCCAAGAAGAAGAGGACUAUGCCCGGUAAUUCACGCAACCCAAGUACCCCCCCUUUCUGAUUCCAGUCGUGCAUGCACACUGCAUAUACAGGUCGGUCAGGUCUCUGCUGCCUGCUGCGACUGCGAGAGAUCUCGCUCGCUCGUCUGGAUCGAUUGGAGUUUUAUGAGUUGGAUGCUGGCAGCAGGAGCAUCUUCUUCUCUCACAUGCACUCGAUCGGUUUCUCUUUCCAUUUCUUCGUGGUUUCUUGUCUGUGUGUUUCUCUCGUUAUAGUUUCUUGAUUUGUGAUCACUGCUGUCUGCACUGCGUAGUUAUUAGUCCAGAGAAUUGUUGCCUGGUUUUCCAACGCAGAUCGAUGUGUGCACUGCAAACUACUGCCUGUUUUUGUUGGAAGCUGGAUUUUAUGAAAAAAAAGUAUAGUAAUUCUCAAGUUCUUGUUUUUUUUUCUCUCUCUUCCCUUCCUCCCUACCUAGUUCGAGGUGGAUCCCCUCCCUACCUUGGCUGCAAAGCAAGUAGUAGACUUGACGAGACGAGCUUGGCCUUCCAGUUUGCACCUGUUCAAUCAAUAUACUUCAUUUAAAGCUCUCUGGCUGUCCUCACAGUCACACCUGAGCUGAGAGUGAGAAUUAAUUCAGGUGAAGAAUAUGGAAGGUUGGAGUCAGUAGACUUCAUUCAAUUCAUGGCGCUACUACCAGUUUUCCCCCCUGGCCGCGCUCUUAGCUUGUUUGUGUUCUUCUCGGCAAGGCUCACGUUUUUGUUUUAACCGGUUGAAGAAUUCAAACUCGUACCAACUUAUUUUGUUUGGUAAAUAAUAAAAAGGCUAAGGAAGUUCCAUAUUUUUCAAGAAGAAAACAAAAUCAGUUUACAUCCCAAGAUUCCAUGUGUGUGCAUGCAUGAGCUGUUAGCCUGUUACUCAGUUCUUCCUUCUUCCCCCAAUUAUGAGAAGCAAAUAGGAGCCAUGACACAAUCCAUGUCCAUUCCUUUGUUCUCUAUAUCUCUUCCUGCAUGCAAACUCCUCUCCUUCCCCAAAAAAUAUCUCUUGCAAAAUAUUCCCCUCCGUCUCAUAGCUUGUCUCUACCGUGCCACAGCUCACAGUCUCACACCCACCGAGAGAAAAGCGGAAACCAAAACAAAUAUCUUCCGUCCCCAAAUUACUAUAUCAUCAGUACUACUAGCUACUAGCUCCCACCAUCGUUUCUUAAUCAUGCAUGGCUAACUUAUAUAAGCAAAAUAAAUUAAUGACUCCCGCAUCCGCAUAGAACAAUAAUUCCCUCGAAAUAAUUAAUAGUAAAACUCAAUCAUCAAUAUAGAAAAACCAUGUGCUACUGUCCUCCUUCCUAAUCCACAACAAGUGUUGUGCUGACGAUCAUCUAUAUCCUUCCUUGUGCAUCCAUAAUGCAUUCUUUUACUGUUCGCUGAUGCGGAAUUCAAAGUAAAUUUUCCCUCCUGUCCAUCAUCAUGCAUGCAUCAGUUCGCGAUCAAUCAUAUAUAUAUGCCAUUUCUUCUCUCUUUGAUUCUUUUGCAAAGCUAGAUCGAUACUCCUAUUAGCUAACUAUAGACUUGUGUUUGAUUAUUUCUCUUCGAUGGAACUUGCAGACCCCGACGCUGAGGUGAUCGCGCUGUCGCCCAAGACGCUGCUGGCGACGAACCGGUUCGUGUGCGAGGUGUGCAACAAGGGGUUCCAGCGGGAGCAGAACCUGCAGCUGCACCGUCGCGGGCACAACCUGCCGUGGAAGCUGAAGCAGAAGAACCCGCUGCAGGCGCAGCGGCGGCGCGUGUACCUGUGCCCGGAGCCGACGUGCGUGCACCACGACCCGGCGCGCGCCCUCGGCGACCUGACGGGGAUCAAGAAGCACUUCUGCCGCAAGCACGGCGAGAAGAAGUGGAAGUGCGACAAGUGCUCCAAGCGCUACGCCGUGCAGUCGGACUGGAAGGCGCACUCCAAGAUCUGCGGCACCCGCGAGUACCGAUGCGACUGCGGCACACUCUUCUCCAGGUAAUGCAGCCGCCAACAUAUGCCUCUCUCGCUGCUUAUCGCUCCCGUGUCCGGCCGGUUUCUCGCAUGCAUUCCCAUCGCCUCGUUUUCGCUCGAGUGUACUGUAGUCUAUAUCAGCAGUGUUAUUGACACAGAUGGCAAGGUAUAGCUGCAUUGCAUUUGUAUGUAUGUGUGUAUGUACAUAUAUAGAGUAUGUUCAUGAUUGCUGCAUCAUGAUAUGGCAAGAGUGUAUAUAACUAGCUAGGCAUGGCAUCGUCAUGGGGUUUUGCACUGCAUGAGCCUGUUGUAGCUGUCGGCUUAUGGCUACCCCUUGGAUUCGGUGAGCGAGUAAAGUAUUAGGAAAGUUCCAUGGUUUGGCUGGCCUUCGUUCUUUAGGGUUAGGGUUUUGUUUGGGCUUGCGGCGACAUGGCGCCUGUAUAGUUUUGGUGCUCACUGCUCAGCAGCUCAGCUGGCCUGCCUGAUGAUGAGCUAGAAAGACGAACGAAGAUAGAUCCGCCGUGGGGAGGAGAGAGAGGAAUAGCUAGCUAGCUAGCCAGGCCGAGCGAGCGAGCUCAGCUGGGAGGACUGCUUGCACGUGAAUGCAGAAAUGGCUUCUUUUUUGAGCCUUUUGGCCUUUGGUGAUGAUGCUUCCCUUUCCCGACUACCCUUCCUAGGGAAGCAGGAACCAGCAAACUCCCUCAAGUCUGUCUCGCCAAACACUCGUCACAGUCACUAGUAUUUAUCUAUCUUUUUCUUUUCUUCCCCUGAACGGCUGAACUGAUUCGUCAGUGUUACCCAUCAUGUUUACACAGAUAUGCAUGAGUCUAUGGCCUCCUUUAGUUGGCAAAAUUUUUCGUUUUUGGGUACUGUAGCAUUUUGUUUUUAUUUGACAAACAUUAUCCAAUCACGGAGUAACUAAGCUCAAAAGAUUCAUCUCACAAAUUACAGGUAAACUGUGCAAUUAGUUUUUAUUUUCAUUUAUAUUUAAUGCUCCAUGCAUGCGACCAAAGAUUCGAUGUGACGGGGAAUCUUGAAAAUUUUUGCAAACUAAACAAGGCCUAUGUUGUUACUGACCCUGUAGACCCACAUUUUUACUGGUCCAUCCUGUCAGGAGCAGUCAAUUAAGUUGCAAGGACUGCAUCACUUGGCUGCCAUGUAAGCCUAGCUUGUUCUCAUGUGAGUUGGCCGCUGUCUAGAUGUGGCAGGCAGGGCCGUUCGUUGGCCGUGCCAAUGAGCCAGGCCAGGUCCACCCCUUUUCAUGGACACAUUUGCCAUGGCCUGGCCUCCUCACAGUAUGCCCUAGUCACGCAUGCAUCACCUAGUAGGUGUAACUUUGAGCCACUGUUCACAUUUCUUGGCGCUGGCGGUGUUAAACAUGUCCCAAAGUGGCGUGGGCAUUCUCACUACUCUCUUUCAUGGGUAUGGCAAAAAUUCUCCAAUAGGCAGUAAGCAUAUAUAGUACUACUGAGUUGCAUCAACAGGAGUUGCAUUAAUGGCCGCUUGAGUUGCUCUAUUGAAGAAGCCCUUCUCUUCCACUGUUUGCUCACACUAAAUCCAUAGAUUCCACACGUUUUGUUGUCAAACAGUAAUCUUGAUUAGGGCCUACUAUUAGAUCCAUUUAGUGCGUUGUUGAAGGAUUGCAAGGAAAAAAAAAUCACGGUGUGUGUGACUGUGUCUUGGUCCCUUGGGAAGUGAGCUUACCAGCCCCACAAAGUUUUCUGAUCUCCUUGGUGUGUGUGUGUGUUCGUGUAGGAGUAGAUGCAUGACAGUUCUGAUGCCUAUGUCUCGCUGCCUUUUCCUCGUCUCAAGCUUCCUACUAGUGCGAACCUGGCAGCGCAUCUCACCUUUUCUUUCUCCAUUAUUGAUUGACAUGGGUUUCUGGGAUCUUGAGCUAGCUUUGUGGUGAGGCUAGCCUGCUGCUUUUGAUGUCUGCAUGCGUCCAUGCAUGGUUACCAAACACCUUUGACCAAUGCUGUCAGACAAGACAAACCACGUAAUGUUUCAGGUAAUACUAGUCUCUAGCACCAUUAGGAAAGUGAAAUAAACUCCUGAUUGCACACAUCACAUACUGCGGACUCUUUAUCCACAAAAAAGGAAAUUUGCAGAGCCUGCAGGGGAAAAAAAAUGGAUCACUACCGUUCAGAUCCAUGUUACAAACACAACAUUCAGUGGCACAGCAUCAGCAUGCAUGCAUCCAGUUGCAGCGGCGUUCACAUGUCCAUCAGAAACCCGAGAUGCCGCUGUUCCUCGAUGCCUGCGCCGUCUGCAGCGUGACAUUUGGCCAUGCAUGCAUGCGUCUGCCUGCAGUUUUUCCUACGAAACCUUUUACUGUACAUUUUCACUGCGCCGUCUCGGGCUCAUGCGAUUGUCUGCUUCCCUUCUCUGAGCUCUGACCUAGCUACACUACUCUACACAGCAAUGCAAGCAUGCGUGAAUGAUAUCAUAUCGUUGGUCCAUGCAUGCAGGAGGGACAGCUUCAUCACGCACCGGGCGUUCUGCGAUGCCCUGGCGCAGGAAAGCGCGCGGCUGCCGCCGACGAGCCUCAGCAGCCUCACCAGCCACCUCUACGGCGCCACCAACGCGGGCAACAUGGCGCUCAGCCUCUCGCAGGUGGGCUCCCACCUCACCUCCACUCUCCAGGACGGCCACCACCACCACCCGUCCCCGGAGCUCCUCCGACUCGGCGCCGCGGCCGGCGGCGGCGGCAGCAGCAUCGCCGCGCGCCUCGACCACCUCCUGUCGCCCAACGGUGCGUCCGCCUUCCGCUCGCCGCAGGCUCCGCCGUCGUCGGCGUCCUUCUUCCUCAACGCGGGGGCAUCGGUCGGGCAGGACUUUGGGGACGACGCGGGCAAUGGGCCGCACUCGUACCUGCAGGCCAACAAGCCUUUCCAUGGGCUCAUGCAGCUCCCCGACCUCCAAGGCAACGGUGCUGGGGGCCCUGGCGCCUCAGGCCCCAGCCUCUUCAACCUGGGUUUCUUUGCUAACAAUGGCAACAGCUCGGGGUCCAGUCACGAGCAUGCAAGCCAGGGGCUCAUGAACAACGACCAGUUCAGUGGCGGGGCAGGUGGAGGCGGUGGCGGCGGGGGCUCGGAGGUAUCGGCGGCGGGGAUUUUUGGCGGCAACUUCGUUGGUGGUGGAGAUCAAGUUCCACCGCCGGGGCUCUACAGUGAUCAAGCCUCCAUGCUGCCGCAGAUGUCGGCGACCGCUCUGCUGCAGAAGGCGGCGCAGAUGGGCGCGACCUCGAGCACCAACGGCGGCGCGGCAUCCAUGUUCCGAGGCUUCGUGGGCUCUUCUUCCCCUCACGUGCGGCCGGCGACGCCGCACAUGGAACAGAGCGACGCGAACCUGAACGACCUGAUGAACUCGCUCGCUGGAGGUGGCGUCGGCGGCGGAGGAAUGUUCGGCGGCGGCAACGGCGCCGUCAGCGCGGGGAUGUUUGACCCCAGGCAGCUGUGCAACAUGGCGGAGCACGAGGUGAAGUUCGGGCAGGGUGGCGGAGACAUGACACGGGACUUCCUUGGCGUCGGCGGAGGCGGCAUCGUGCGCGGGAUAUCGACGCCGAGAGGAGGAGGAGGAGACCACCAGAGCAGCAGCGAUAUGAGCUCCCUGGAGGCCGAGAUGAAGUCGGCCUCGUCCUUCAACGGUGGCAGGAUGCCAUGACCGACCCAUCGGCGGCCAUCGAUCGAGCUUAGACAAGACAUAAGUUCGCGCACAGUAAGCCAGAGACUUGAUCAACAAGCAGAUGCAAUGAGAGGAGUAAGGUCGUCGUUAUAUAGCGUAGCGGCAAACAAAUGCAAGUUAGCAACUGAGUCGCAUGAGUGAGUUCAUGCAAGGGAUAAAGCAAGCUAGCUAGCUAGCUUUCAUCAUCCGAAGGGACCUUGGGUGAGAGAGAAAGGCGUCUUCUUUGACUAAUGGAGUAAGCUAGAGUGCGAGUUGGACGCAUGUGAUGACCCCUUUGCUCGUGGUGGGGGUUGGUGUUCAUGCUGGUCUUGUUCUUGUUGGUUUUCCCUUCCUUGUAGUUGGAUAAUCUUUGUUGGAUUAAGUAUAGUUUCUGGUCAUAGAACCAAUAAGGAUGUUUGUAGCUAGCUUAAUGGGGGCGUGUGAUUUGCAGCUUAAUUAGCACCAUUCCCUCUCCUGCUAUUUUUUAUUUCCUUUUCUCUUGUAGCAAAACAAUAUUCCCCUUACAAUGCCAUUAAUUAUGCUAGCUCAAAUUCAUGCUGUUUUCCUGUGGAUGCAUAUAUAUACUAUAGUCAAGUGUUCUUUCUGCAGUCAACGAUAUGUUGCCAUGUUUUCUUAUUUAUUAGUCUGAAGUCCACCUCGCUUCAUUGAAAUUUGGCUGAUACUGAUGUUGAUUUGUUUUGAGAGAAAAUAUUGUUUCUUCGCUAAAAAGUACACUUCAUUAAAAUUUGGCGGGCUAAUGCUGAUUUGUUGUGAGAGAAAACACUACUUCACUCACUUUCUGUUUGAAGAUCAUAAAACCAUGCAUGUGUACACCUAGCUAGUAUUUCAUAUAUUUUCAGCCAGGAGGAUUGUUAUCAAGAUAGCGUUUAGGGUCUGAAAAAAAUCAAUUUCGUUUUAACAAAGUCAAAUCUUUUAGACCUUAUAAAUAAUUCUAAAUCCAUGUCAAAAUAAGUGUUGUUCUGACUAUGCACUUGCGGCUAUUUUAGGAUGGAGUUCUUUUCCUAGUAUUGAUAUAGUAUACAUGGGUGAAAAAGGUCAUUCACCCGAAUUUUAUGAACAUAUUAAUUAUAAAAAAAUGUUAUGGUGUUUUGGAGGAGUGCUACUUUAAGGUGUUGCGAGAAUUAGGAGAAAUAUUCAUUAUUCUAAGUUACACCAACUAUACUUAGAAAUUAUACCAAAAUAAUCAUUGACCCUGUAGUACAAGUGGUGUAAAAAAUGUAAAUCGAGCAUAAGUUGAUGGUAACCGGAAUUUGGAGGCGUGGAGAGAAGAAUCUUACUCUUUUUCUCUUCCAUGCAAGCCAUUUAGGAGAAGAAAGGGGAAAAAAAUGGGUGCGGUGGAGAGAAAGAUUUCCACCCGGAUACUAUGGGGGGGGGUUGUUUAGUUCUCCUUUGAUCCUAAAAAAUUUUGGGUUUUAGUUCAUUAUUUUACACAAUUGAACUAAACAACAUGUAAAUUUUUUUGGCAAAAUAGUUGUCACUCUCCAUUUUGGAUUUUGGCAUCAAGAGGCUAAAAAGCUCGAAAAAGUCUGAAGAGGCCAUAAUGAGAGUAAUAAAUUCUUCAUUUUGCAUGAAACUAAACAUAACUUUAAAAAAAUAUCAUUUUGUAUUUCAUCAUUGCAAAAUAGUUGACAUUUUAUAUUUUUCAUUCCAUGAAGAACUAAACAACCCUGGGUAGACAAACCCAAACAAAGAUAAGACAAACCCUAACAGAGAUAAAUAAAUUUGUUGUCUAACUAGUUUAGAAGGGGGUGGGUGGCGUAGCUAAGGUUCAUUUUAUACUCUCAUACGUUUUGUACUACUUCACGCUACAUUGUGUUGUUGCACGACAAGUGGAACUCCUAUUAAAUUUACUGCACAUAUGAUACUUGAGUUUUUUUUAACGAACAUAUGAUACUUGCUCUAACUGAUUGGCCACUUUGAUGAAGGACAGCACGAGCUGAUCUCUAGGGCAAAAGAUGCCUUCCUGCUGCCCAUGACUGUCUAUAGCGCUUGACCUAUAUGCACAGCACAUCGUGCUGCGGCUUAGCUUCUCGCUAAGCUCGAGCUUGCUACUGCUUGGUCGUGCUGUCUCUCUACGUUCGACAGAGAGCGAGCGAUAGGAUGUAGCUUUCGAUCGUCUCGUGCAUGCACGCCGGUCUAGCUCAGGCCCUGUUUAGUUCUCUCUCCAAAAUUUUUUCAUCCAUCCCAUCGAAUCUUUGGACACAUGCAUAGAACAUUAAAUGUACAUAAAAAAUAAACUAAUUACACAGUUUGGUUGAAAAUCGCGAGACGAAUCUUUUAAGCCUAGUUACUCCAUGAUUAGCCUUAAGUGCUACAGUAACCCACAUGUGCUAAUGACAGAUUAAUUAUACUUAAUAGAUUUAUCUUUCAGUUUCCUAACGAGCUAUGUAAUUUGUUUUUUUAUUAGUAUCUAAAAACCCCUCCCGACAUCCUUCCGACACAUUCGAUGUGACACCCAAAAAAUUUUCAUCUCCAAUCUAAACAGACCCUCAGGCGCCACACCACGGUAUGGGCCGCCCAAAUCAUUGCAUCCUUCUCAUCAGUAUAUAUAUCAAUCAUUCUCGACUGAAAAUAUUAAUUCAGAUAUUCUAUAUAUUAUUGAAUCCAUAUUGAAUGAAACAUUUGUCUGAAUAAUUCGGUUUACUUUGACACUAGUAAUAAAUACAUCUGCACACUCCAUAUAAUUUCCUCUGUAAACUAUUGGACCUUUCACUAGUAGAGAAAUAGGCACUAGUCUUGGUUCCCAACGCCCAUUAGUCCCGGUUUUGGAAACAGAAUUACACAAUUGGAACUAAAAGUCUCCAUUUUUUAGUCCCGGUUCCUAGAUAUGCUUAUUGGGUAAAAAAGAAGUGCAACUAGUGGAGAUUCGAACUUAAGACCUCUCACUUCAGUCUUACACGUGUUGCGAUCUCAACUCCCACCACACAUCUAAUGUAUAGACAAGAUAUGCUUUCCUUUUAAAUUCACUCUCGAGGCACCUUUAGUCUAGGUUUAAGACACAAACUCAGACUAAAGGUACCAUUAGUCUAGGUUAACCGAGAUUAAAAGUCACACCUUUAGUCUGGGCUCGUACCUCAAACCGAGACUAAAGCCUCCUGCACUAACACGUCUUGGUAAAUGUUACAACCGAGACUAAAAGGUGAAAUUAGUCCCAAUUUCUAUUACAAACUGGGACUAAAGGUCUCAUAUCACCUUCAGUCUCGAUUUGCAGUUUGAAACCAAAACUAAUUCUUUGGCCAUCGAUAGAAAGUCGUUUCUUUGCUGAUGUUUUUUUUAGUAAAUAUGUUAUAGGGGUGUAAACCCGUCUAGAUCCCCUUCAAAAAAAAUUCCUUUCUUCUUACCAAAUAAUUUGGCAGGAGUACUGCAUGCAUAUCAUUUAGGACCCGUUUGGAUGUUUUCAUUUGGGAGGAACUGAAAUGUGCUUUAUGGACUGAGCUAUUUUUGGCUUGGAAUUAGACAUUCUAAAACUUUUUAAAAUUUAGAUAUAAGUAUGUCUUAAAUUCAUGGUGCGAGAGAUAUAAAUAGAUUUAUAGAUCCUCAUCAUUCUAUAUUUCUGCUUUGUAACUUAUAACACCUUCUUCGAUUCGCUCCCCUGCAACAGAAUGCGGCACAUAAUUAUCUUCUCAUGUGGCCAACAACAGUAUACAAGUAUAUUUUGCAUGUGGUUAUAUUAGCUUCAUUGAUUUGUGCCUAAAUUGUUAUUAUUAGAAUGAAUUUCUCUUUUGAGAUUUAUUAGAAUGGAUUUCAGUUCCAAGGAUCAAUCCUGGUUCUUGCUUACAACUCCGUAAACAAAAAAAAAAUCUAAUUCUUUGAUUGAUCAAAGAAUUAGAUUUUUUUUUUGUUUACGGAGUUGUAAGCAAGAACCAGGAACAGUUUUUUUCUUCAACUCCACAAGUAGCUCCACUGAUGUAGUUGAAGUUGUUUUAGAAAAACAAAAAUUGGUAAAAACAACUUUUCAUAGUGAACAAGAGAGUUGGAGCCUUGGUGACAGCUGCUCGCUGAAUGGAUGUAUCGUCUAUUCUAGUAGCAGCAGCUUUAUGACGAUUUUUAGCUCAUCCAGCUCCCACCCUGAGCAGGUUUCAAGAAGCUCCACCUAAGGAGGUGUUUUAUUUUAACUUGUUUGGUAAAAAAAAAACAGCUUCAAACAGCUUUUACUGAACUGUUGGAGAGUUGUGCCAAAUGGAGCUUAUUAUGCCCUGUUUGGUUGCCCCAGUUUUAUUUUUAAUUUACUUCACAAUCGAGUAUUAAAUAUAUAUUAUUUACGACACUAAAAACACAACUAGAUAAUAAUUUACAGACAAAUCUUUUGAGUCUAAUUUAUCCAUAAUUGGACAUAACUGUUAAAUAAAAUAAAAAUACUAUAGCACAUGUUAAACUUUAACACCUCCAAAAUCAAACACCCUUGGAGGGAUGUCUAUACAGGACUCGGAAUAGUAGCUAGGAUCGAGAAGAAAAUUUUGCGGCGGAGGGGAAGACAAGAGCUAGGGCGUGGUUUGGUCAUACUGUAUGGUGGUUGGUACAUACAACUCUCAAUCGAGGCAGGACGACUCAGGAACGGAAUGUUUGGGCCUAACUGCUAGAUUCGCGGUUUGACCGUGGCUCCCUGUGUGGCAGCCACGCAUUUUGUGGAAGAUUUUGGCUCUCCUCUUGGCGGCCGCGCGCGGUGGUUACUGAAAGAGAAUUAUUGUCGGAAUGAAGUCGUCCGUACCUGCCUGCUGCAGCGUUGCGUUGACGGCGACGGCGGCGAGGCCAACAGCCAUGGCCGACAGGGACAGCUGCCGGCCGUAAAAGGCCACUAGUAGCUCUCGCGAUCUCGCCCGCAAAAGCGGCUGCGAUAUCCGAUUUUCCAAUGAUUCUUGGGAGGAAAGGGGAAAAGCAGGCAGGGCCGCGCGCGGCCGGGCCAGAGCAUGCAAAGCAUGAUGCUGAUGCGCCCGCCCGCGAUCAGCUGCUAGCCUUCACUUUUGUCUCGUGUGCUGUCCGUGAUCUGACGAUCGAUGAUGAUGAUGAUGAUGAUGAGAUUGAGCGUCAAGAAAAAGAUAGAUUGGUCACAAGUACAAUUGUUCCCUGGAAAGCCAAGCAAAAAGGUGAGAAUUAUUGGAGGGCGGAUGGAAGCUGCAGGGACAGAGCAUGCAUGCAUGCAUGGGUUUGUGAAUGCCUAAAAUUAAAGCAGCUACAGCUAGUAGUAGUCGUCAAGGAAGAUCUCAUAGUUAGUGGACUAGCAGUACGUUCACAUCAGAGAGGUUGGAGAGCUACUUACUAGUCGAUGCAAUACUGCCCUAAAGAUUUACAUAUAUGCACGAAUUUUGGUAAAAUCAACCUAGGCCACCUGUACUGUUUGAUACUUUAGCGGCAUCUGAUAGAGAUUAAUUAGUAUUGCCCCCACGUGACCGCUGUUACAGAGACGCGCAGAGCAAUGUACUGCGCCAAAAAAAUAAACAAAAUCAUCUCUAUAUAUGUGUGUGUGUGUGUCUGUCUAUCCAGCUCGAUUUAGAAUUGAACAAGGUAGCAACCAGCCAUGAGGAGGAUCUGACCAAUGUCCGCACGUGAGCUGAGCAAGAUAACUCUGACGCUUUUUAUCAGCAGCGCUCUUCCUUCCUUUUUAAUUGGCCGGCCGGGCUCCGAGACCUGGAGAAUCUCUGCAUUUACUAAUCGCUCCGACUGUCGCAAAAACGUGGGGAGGGGAGAUCGACGACGCAGAUGCUGCUGAUGCUGAUGCAGAUGCAGAUGCAGCACACCACACGGGAUGCUUGCUGCAAAGGUUAACCAUCCUGGGAACUCCUGCUCCCCGAUGAUCAGCGGUCUCCUUGCAAAGCAAGGACACAGUGCAAGCCUGACACGUAUAUAUGUACGGUGCGGGAUCUAUAUACUACUAUUACUCGUAUACUGUGUCAUGACCGGACCAACACGGUGCUGCGGCGUACGCUAAACUAGUAGGCUAGACUAGACAGAGUAGAAUAAUUAUUGUUAAUUAGGAGGGAGUACAAGAUUAGGCGCGCAGCGAAUCGGGGCGAUUUUGUUUAGGCGUGAAGGGUUAGUUGGGACGCGAUGCCGGGGUUUUGUUUGUAGCGUCGUCGCGGCGCGUUUGGCAUGUCCGGUGAAGAACCUUCGCCCGCGGGGGCGGGGCGCAUGCAGGCAAGCAUCAUGUCGCCCAAGGUCACGGGCGCAUCGUUUGGUUUCCGCGCGAGCGCGAGCGCGAGCGAAGAAUCCUAUGCAGCACGCGACGGCGAUGCGAUUGCGAAUGUCACGAUGCUGGGCUGCCUGUGCCGCCUGGCCUGAUGCUGAUUGCACGCCGUGCCCGCGCUCCUCUUGAUGCGUGCAUUUGGAGCCUAGCUACAGCUUUUCGGUCGCAAUCAUGUGUACGUACGCGGCUGUAGCUGUUGCCCUGCAGUGUGUCCCUGACUCCCCUUGGCGUACGUGGCACGCCGCACGCGAGCGAGCGUGCGUGCGCACGUACGUACGUACGUAGCUAGCUGAUCGGUGUUUCGGCAUGCUUCUUUUUUUUUUUUACCCCGUGGUAGAUUCGGAGAUCAGGGCGGCUAGCCCAGAGCUGUGUGGACUGUGGUGAGGUUCAGAAGUCACAAGUCACAACGUGGCACGGACUCGUACGGUUUUCGUGUUUGCAGUUGGUACGUGCUUGGUGUUGAAUCUCGUGAAUAGAGAGAGAGAGAGGGGGCCGGGUACAGCGAUUUUGCAAUCAGCAAACAGCUAGCUGCCUGCCCUUGCUGCAGCCGGUUCAUGCACAAGAUCGACAGUGGCCUGGCCUCCCCCGGCGGCCCGGCCCCAGUCGAUGGUGACGAUGACAGUAUUGGCCUCCCGGGGAGCAGAGUGAACGCCGGGUAUUGAAACAGUAUUGACUGGGCAAAAAUCUGACGUUUCCACGGAGAUUCCACGCACCGCGCAGGCACAGUUGCCGACUUGCCGUGCCAUCACAUUCACGCUCCUGUUCCGAGGUCCACCUCCACGAACGAGGAAGCAGGGAGCAGCAGCGCACGGCCACCGGCUUUGGUGGAUGCGGGGCCUUUGGUUUGGUUGCUGGCAUCGUAUCGCAUCACAUCGCAGCGACCUCCAAGCCCGUGGGCUGCGCGGCCCACUCCUGAUCGCGGGGGUUUCAAGCGCGUUCUUGGUGUCGCUAACGUCCACUUCUUGGGCCUCAACCGCCUCGCCCUCGUCCGUCCGCGCCUGUGUGUCCCCCGGACCCGGCAGCGCGGCAGCUGCGUAGGGCGUCAUGGCGCUUUUGAGUUUUCCACCGCUCGGCGUUGCUCUCCUCCGUGCCCACGACACCGGAGGAGGCACAGCGUUUGCGACGCGAAGGUUCGUUUCUUCUGUGAAGGUGGUGUAGAGUCCAGUCCAGCAAAUGGAAGCUACAAUAAAAAGGUAGAGCAAAGAGAUGUUCCAUACCCAUACUGCCAUGCGAGCUGAAACAAAGCAUCGGUGUGUUCUCAUCGGUUCAGGACGUACGUUACUGGUUGUUGGUGGCUAGAUCUUGAGCUCAAGUACCGUAGCGUGUAGUACGACAUACAAGUCAUGUCCGCUGUGCAACUAUCAGAUUCGGUCGGUUGUUCAGGUACAACAGCCGUUGCAAUGGUCCAGUCGACGACCGUGCUGUCGCUCCUUUUUGUUUUCGAUUUCACUGUUGCACGACCGUGCAGGCCCGGGAGUACCGAUGUGAUAGCACAGAGCCCAGCCCAACUGAAAAAGCAGCCAGUAAGUACCCUGCUCAAACGGGCCUUGGUACAUUGGGCACGUGAAAAGCGGGCAGUACCCUGCUUAAAGGAAAAGCAGGGUACAAUCAAGUCCAGAGUGCAGCCCAACUGAGACAAAUGCCGUGAAUGUGGAUGCGCCCGCGGCCCGCGCUUUCUGAUGUGCAGAGAGCAGCACGUCCGGGUCUGCACUGCGGAGAUUGACGAUGCAAACUGGGCACUGGCAACUGGCAGCAGGUUCACGAGCAUCCAUGCUUCUGAUGCGGGAUCGGCUUGGGGCUUCUGAAUCCAAACCCGAACUCUCUAGAGACUUGCUCAGAUGAACGUGGCUUGACGGCUAUGGAACUGACCCUCCGAGCUCCUGCCUAAGUUGCAACUGACCCCGUCCAUUCAAUAAAUGGUACUUUCAAUCAUAAUCAUAGCUUUUCAGUCAUGCGAACAAGCAAACCGAAGCCAAGCUUCGUUAUGUUCAUGAAUUUUCAGUCAAGCGAACAAGCAAACCAAAGCCAGGCUUCGUUAUGUUCAGCACGCAUUCAGCAUCCUCGCGUGCCGAGUCCACCACAGCCAGGCUUCGUUAGGUUUGAUAGCAUGGUAACAAAAGUACCCAAGAAACUAGCUGCCAUGAUCAUCGGAGAAUCAAAGCCUCACAAAAACAAUUAGGUUCGUCAUAACAUACACUAAGAUUGGCUGGUUACAACUUGCAACAAAUAGUUCACACAUCACAGUACUAAAGCUCCUCGAACUGCAGCGUCACAACAUCACGAAUACAAAACAAGCGUACAUAAAAUCCCCAGAUCACUUGAAUGAACUGGAAGUCUUAAUGCAUAAAUUCAGUGUCCGAUAGUAUCACCGAAACAGUGCGGAUACAUGGAAUACUCCAGGAUUCCUUGGUGAAUGCAGCUCAGCAGUAAAACAUGACACGCUUCACGUUUUCCUUGAGAGCGGGUAGGGGCCUGACCGCAACACUCCCGGCCCCUCUGAUGCCGCGUGCCCCACCUGGUGGAGGCCCACGGGCCCCACUGGCCAUUGACCCACUGUCAGAGGUAUCUGGCUCCAUGUAGAAGCGAGCUCGGAAGGCUGCCAGAUGAGCAUAGUAUGCCGGGGGCACUGCAAUCAAUAAAGCAAAGGUCAACAAUUUGUUUUAUGGAGUAGCACCGCAAUGGGUUGCCAGAGUAGACAAGAGACUGUGUUCUCAAGCUGGGCUUACCAAUUGACACGGAGCGAGUGCACCUAGCGUACCUGCAAAAGUGGAAACAAUGUUUAACAGGCAGUUGAAGAGGGCACGGGAAAUAAUUGAUCGAUGGAGCAGUAGAUGUAUUACGUGUAGCACAGGUUGUUUGUCAGAGUCUGCAGCUCAUCAGCUGUAAACUUGUUCUCAUCCCACAGGACAUGGUAAUGAGCAGGGCGGCUUGUUCCCUAAUGGACGUGAAAUUGCAGUCAGUAAUCAGCCUGUUUCAUCGAAGGAUGAAUUGAAAAGGGGAAUGAAAAAAACUAACCUGAAUGCCGGCAUGGCUACACAGGUAGAAAUCAAAUUCCGUAGGAUGGCAAAUCUUGGAAUCAACCACGGUGCCUAAAUUCAGAUGAAAAGAUAGUAUCUGGUCAGAUCCAAAUAACCAAAUUAGACAUGCUAAGCCCAAAAAGAUGGAGAGCACCAAGAACUAACCAGGCAGUAUGUUUCCACUUCUAUCAACUGUACGCUGGUCAUUGUGGUUAUUAGCAAACAGCCUAGUGUGAUGUCGCUUCUGGACCACGACAAAAGUAACUGGAGGCUGGUAAUUGGGCUCCAGGGAUGCACAGGCCUAUUUCCAUGGUACCGAGAGGAUAGUCAAGAAAAGAAGAAAAACAACAUCAAACGAAUGGUAUGUAAUUACAUGUACCUUUCUGAUGGCAUCAAGUUCAUACAACAAUACUUGAUAGAACUGUCCCUCACUGACACCAUCCCUGAAAUCCAGAACUGCUUAGUAUAUUGAGAAACAGAUCAGUAAAGUUGACCAAUCAAGGAUAAUAACCUGUAGAAUAUGAUCCUUUGGGGCUUCUGUCCAGUUGCCCUCUUGAAAGAAAUGAGAAGUUCCCUGCAAUAAAAAGAAUUUAAGCAUAAAGCAGAAUCCAAAGAUGGAGAACUGUGAAUAAAUCGCAUCAUCUCAAUUGGGAUCAUACUUUAUCAUGCCACCAGUUACUGUCCUUCUCUGUGGGUCUUGCCAUACUUUGAAAAGAUCCUGUAUCAGCUCCUGGCGAUGAGCUUGGGCACUCACUAGUCCAGCAUAUUUGGUGACCUCAGGCCAGUCUUGUGAAGCAACAACCUAGGAAGGAACAAUAUUGUAAGAAUUAAAAAGUGAAAUCUGUCGUUUAGACUAUGUGAACUUCUGGCCUGUUAUAAUUGCAACAAGUACUGCACUUACAGCUGCAAUGGAAGGACUGGAAUCUUCUCCAGGAUGUGGAUGGGUAACAUCAGCACCAAAUAUUAUGGUCGGCCUGUCACUGACAAGGGGGAUUCUCCUUGUCAAAGCAUCUACAAGUACAGUAUUCCUUCCCCCAACCUGAAGAGGUAGGAAAACUGUGAGAAAACUAACGAUUCAUGAGUGACUUAAGGAUGGAAGUGUGGAGAGAUUUUACCUUAACAUUUAUUUUGAGUGCAACAUUUGCAAGAUACUGCUUGCUCAUCUUAAAAACAUGUUUAGUCAGACAACACUGGGAGACCAAUCCAAGAUCAGUCUCACAGAUCCUUUUGAGAUCCCCUGAGAAAUGAAAAGAAUGAUGAUGACCAAAUGUAUUCAGCAGACAAUGUUCAAGUGUGUUUUGGAAGAGAACAUUACCAUAAAGAGAACCAUUAUUGUCAGGCAGUAUUACAAUCAGCAGAUCGAGUUCCCUGCCCUGUGGCCUCAAUACGUUCAUUGCAUCUUGAUAACGGGCCUUUAACGCCCUUUCAACAUGUUCAGGUCUUGCAGUCACUGGAGCGAGCACAGGCUCAAGAGCAAAAUCCUAAAGGGAAAGAAAACACGUAGAGUAAAUAACAAAAAUAGCCAAAGGAUAUUGCAGACAAAUGAUAAUUGAAGGGAAAAGACUUACCAUUCCUGAUAUUUGGCACAUGACUGCAAGCUCGUGACAGAAACCCCUAGCAGCACUAUCUUGCACAUUCCGAGAGAAGUUAAUACAUGCCCAGUUGCUGACUCUGCCACCAUUAACCAUUUUCUUCCAAGAAAAAGAAGGCAGCCAAAGAACAAUAGACAUGAAAGUUAUGACUCAUGAGAUUGUUAAAUUAAUCAACAAAAAGGGAGCAUGCAGACAGAAGGCAAGCUAAACUUAGAAAACAGUGCAUUUAGAUUCAGGGGUGACACCACAUUCAUCUAUUGUGGUGCACUGGCACCAUUGAUUGAAAAAAUGUGCAGUAUUAGGUGACCUGUUUAGACCUUGCUAAUGAGCUCGAAAUGGCAAUGUUACUACAAGGUGUGCACCACCAUAAAUUCUGUUCUAGCUUCACCCUUGUCUAGAUUACAGCAAUGUCAAAUCAUAAUCCAAAUGUAUUUCAUAAAAGAUGGUUCUUGAUAGAACUUUUUUUGUGGACUUAUUGGUAGAUCUUUCUGAGUACAUAAUGCAAAAUCAAUCCCUCCAAAAAAAAUUCCAUGGCAAGCUUGGUAGAUCCUAGAAUUUUGAGGUAAGGAGAUAGCAAAAAGGGAUGCCUAACAAAAAAAAGAAGAAAUUAAGUACCACGUAACAAUAAACUCAGUAAUAGUUAGGGUUAUGUAACUUGGACAAACAAACUUAUAUGCUGAGGCAGCUAAUCUCCCAGUUGCUAGGUUAACUUAUUUUUCUUUUUCUUUUUUUUUUGCAAAAUAUAGUACUUAUUUAAUUUGGAUGGUCCUCACCUAAUAUUACCAUAUAAGAAAAUUAAUUGCGUUCGAAAAAAUCACAGGAAGAGCGACUUUAUCUAGAUUUCUCAGGACACAGGCAUACCUUAUUCAUCAUGUUCCAUUGGCCAACUCUGGGCAAAACAUCCUUCUCUCGGCCACUAUCAUGGUAUUUAAGCUAAUUACAAAAUGCACAAAUUCUACGUCAGCAGCCAUGCAGCAUAUGCGCAAAUACGGAAAAAAAAUGCCAAGAUGUUGUUAGAGGUCAUGUUUGUUCGCUUACCCUUGGUGGUGGCAGAACACGAGCUUCAACUGCUGCAAGACGUUCAUCAAUUCUUAUGCCAAAUUCCUGUGCAUAUGGGUCUUCAUAGUAUGCAUUGUGAUGCACAGUCUGAUAAAAGGCAAAAUAAGGAACUGAGUCAGAAUCAUAAAUUCAGCUGACUGACUUUGGUAAAUACAAAACAAAUAAAACCUCUGUACCAUAUUAUGUUUAAACAUUACACAGUAUUCUGAAAAAAACAGAUGGCGCUAUUUAUCAGCUGUUGAAUAAUUUGCUGCUGGUCUUGCACAGGAGUCAAGACUGUAGCUUGGUGACUAGAAAUCUGAAAUUGCAGAGCAACUUUGAAAGACAGUUCAAGCUGUAGUGGGAACACUUGACUAGGAGUAGUGAGGACACAGAUUUUUGGUAGGCCAUUGUGUCCUUAGCCUAGGAUAGUAGACUUUGACUGCAGUACACCAGCGCACCUUCACUAGUUUCAGUUCAUACACAAACUGAACCUACAGCUUUGUGUAUAUAAGUGCAGCCCUAGUAAUGUAUUUUUCAGUUCAGUUGAACCUUGGCCAACGCUAGAGUUUCUGCAGUGUAUGUGUGUGUGUGCUGUUCUCACCCCUUCUUCUACCUCUAGCCAUAGUGAGAGUGUGUGUGUGUGCGUGCGCGCGCAGGCGUGCACGUGCUGGUAAGCUUGCUGCUUUACCUGUGCAGGAAUCCUAGGCACCAACAAGUGGUAUCGGAGCCGUACAACUGCAUCGCCGGACUAACCGCCGGCGAUGGCACCUAGCUCGGAGACGGCUGACAGCAGCAGUGCUGCUGGGGCUGCCCAGACACGACAGAAGGUCGUUGUGCGCACCGUGCGGGAGGUCAGCGGCACAAGUUGGUCGAUGCUGACUCACACCAACUAUGGCGAGUGGGCGGUGACCAUGAAGGUAAAGCUCAGAGCCCGACGGCUCUAGAAUGCCAUCGACAAAGGCACCGACAAUGAAGAAGACGACAUGUCAGCGAUGGAGGCUAUCCUCGCUGCUGUGCUGACAGAGUACAGCGUUGGGGGCGAAGAAGACUGCUAAGGAGGCGUGGGAGGCCAUUGCUGCGAUGUGCGUCAGCUCUGAUCACGCAAAGAAGGCGACGUUCCAGCUGCUGAAGUAGGAGUCUGAAGUACAUCCGAAUUGCUCUCUCCAUAGAGACAAUGUUGGACCUGUCCACCCUCACUAUUGAGGAUGUGACCGGCUGUCUGCGGGCGGUGGACGAGCGCAUGGAACUGGUCACAGCAACGACGGACAGCGGCAAGCUGCUGUUUACAAAGGAGGAGUGGGCUGCCCGGAUGAAGGAGAAGAAGUCCGGGGAAGCCUCCAGCUGCGGUGGCGAUGGCAAGCAUGGCAAGGCUUCUUCAGAGAAGAAGAAGAUUGACCCCAACGCCUAUAGGCGCUGCGGGAAGACAGGCCAUUGGGCAAAGGAGUUCCCAAAUCGCAAGCAGGAGAAGGCGGAAGCUCACCCGCCAGCCCUAAUGGUGGACAAUCAGCCCGCCAUCGCCCUUGCAAAGAAUCCAGUCCUCCACGACCGCAGCAAGCACAUCGACACUCGUUUUCACUUCGUCCGUGAUUGUGUUGAAACCGUACGACAGCUCGCAGACAUCCUCACAAGCCACUCGGCCAUCUUCGGUUCAUGGAGCGGAGGACCAAGAUUGGAAUGGUGGAAAUCAGGCAAGAGCAGCAAGUUUAGGGGAAGAAUUGUUGAAUAAUUUGCAAGAGCAGCAAGAUUAGGGCAAGAUUAGGAGUCAAGACUGUAGCUUUGUGACUAGAAAUCAGAAACUGCAGAUCAACUUGACUAGGAGUAGUGAGGACACAGAUUUUUGGUAGGCCAUUGUGUCCUUAGCUAAUAAGUAUUGCAGGCUUAUCCUGCAUCUAGGAUAGUAGACUUUGACUGCAGUACAACAGCCCACCUUCACUAGUUUCAGUUCAUACACAAACUGAACCUAAACCUUUGUGUAUAUAAGUGCAGCCCUAGUAAUGUAUUUUUCAGUUCAGUUGCCACAACCACAAGGGCAGAACCUUGGCCAACGCUAGAGUUUUUGCAGUGUAUGUGUGUGUGCUGUUCUCACCCCUUCUUCUACCUCUAGGCAUAGUGAGUGAGUAGGGACCAACAUCAGCACAGUACAAUUUACACAAACAUUUUAAUAAUCAAACAACUGUUGCAGAUACCCUGUUACCAAUCCCAGAGAGCCAGAGAUCAUUUUAGAUGCACAGGCAAAUAUAUAAUCAUGUUAAUUGUUAACAAAAGACAAGAGGGCACCCUAAACCCUGAAGAAUGCACAGGCAAAUGUGUAAACAGGGCUUCCAAAGCUAAAAGGCUUGAAAACUGCUAACCACAGGCUAUAAACUAAACAUGGUUAAACAUUUGAAUUCAUAAGAUGUAUACACUGAUGAAAUAACUUAUACAAAAACAUACGAUAAACAGCCACCUGUAAGAUGUCCAGCUCACGCUCUUGAGGGCGCUGGCAGGUCACUUUCAGUAGAGCAGUGAUUUGCUUCUCAUUGAGUCGCUUUGAGUAGCGCUGUCCUUCAACUAUUUUGCAAACCUGAAAUUUCACAUUUCAAAGCCAUAAGCAUAAUACUGAAGCUGGAUGUAGCAUUCAGAGACCAUUCAAAUAGAUAAGCACAAUAUAAGAAAUCCAAGUUCAGCGGAUACAGUCGAAGACACAAACCUCCAUUGGAAGAUAAUUUGGUCUUUGUUGAUUGCCCACUUGCAAGCACGGUAAAGUGGUGUGCUGGAUACUAAAACCAUAAGUCUCCAUGAAGUAUUGCACCACAGUCUUCACAGUACCGCGAUCAUCAACAGGGAAUCUAUCCCAAAGAAACCAAAAAAUCAUGUCACUGCACUAUUCUUUAAGCUAUUAGCUCAUACCAGCAAUGGAAGACACAUACGAUAGCUCUCUUGUUGCUUGUGAGGUUAGGCCAGAAAUGCGAUAUUUUCUGCGCAUGUUUCCCCUGUGAGUGACCUCGACCUUCACACCUCUUAGGGCUUUUUUGAUCUACAGAGGAACAAACAACAGUAACUCAACACGAACUAGCAUAAACCAAAGUUGCUAUCAAAUAGGUAAGGUAAUGAUAAUGAUUCGAACCUUCACACGAUCAGAAUCAGACAAUGGUCUAACUGAGAUAUCUCUGUUAAGAAGCUGAGCAACAAAAUCGAUCACAGGGAGAGGCUCGAUAAAUGCGGUAGAGGACAUAUCUGCAAGAGCACAAAUCAAAGGCUAAGAAAAGACCAGUACUGAUUUCAUAAACUACACUGGGAGUCCAUAGAAUUAGAAUUUAGUUACAAUACGCCAUGGAUCAUGUGUGGCAACUGAAAGAUAAACAAUGAAACAAAAAGGUUAAAGUGACAGUAUCUAACCAAUAUUCAGUGAAAGGCCCAUCUGUGUCGGCCUUAUGCUUUGGUAAAAGCCACGCCAACUUUCCAGACCCUCACCAAGUUGCUGGCGUCUCCCUAAGUUGGGAGAAUAAAAUGACCUACCAACAGGAGAAUACCUGAACAAGAAAAAUGUAAGGCAAUGAAGACUCUGACUUUUGUGGCAUGGAAAAAGCAACUAAUAAAUAUACAAUCACCUCGCAGUAGGCAAUUCACGUAGUACAAUGUCAAGCACUUGAAGAGCUUCUUGAGGAGCAUCCGCUUGCCUUCCAGCUAGAAACAUAGCCAGAUGGUGGAGAUCAGCACGGGCCGCAAAUUUGAUCACCACCCUAAAUACUCUCUCGCGCCUUGAACAGGAAGGAUUACAGCAGUCAGCAUGAAAUGUUGCAUAUAUGUUCUAAAUACAGACACAGCAUAAUGACAUACCUUUGUCCACCUUGGCCACCACCAAGACUAUCUUCCUCAUCUUGCAACGUAAUUUCAAAUGUCAUAGAAGUAAAUGGCAAUGGUCCAGCGGUAUAAAGGCUCUUUCUUCCAUCAUACGCAGGUAGACGCCCACCCAAAUGGGAAAUUCUAUAUAGUCUUACAAGCUCUCCCAUGACAGCACGAUUAACACCACGUGAAGUAACCUCAGGUGUUAUAGAUACCUGAUGGCAAACGAUUGGUGAACAGAAAUAACAACAUAAGAAAAAACUGACAUGAAAUUAUUCCCUACGAGGAGCUUACAUCAUAUUGGUGAAGGUCUUUGUCAGGAAGCUCAGCAAAGAAAUGAUUUGCCUUCACAAUGCACCUGUCCCCAUAAGUGCCCUUGCCAGGGCGCAAUGGGAAUCGAACCGAUUUGCUUGAUGCUGGUGCCACUUGAAUUUCUUGGCUCGUGGAAGACUGACCACGAAUGGCAAGUUGCUGAAACUGUUGCUGGACUUGUCCAGAGCUCACCUCUGCCACAGGCUGUGAGGAUGAGCCAGGUCCCGAUGGGGAUUGUGAAACCACCGGGGCUUGAUACUGGACAUAAGGGGCUUGGUGCAGCUCGGGAACUGUUCUAGAAGGACCUGGAGGAACAUUUCGUCCAACAUUACCUCCCCUAUGCCCACCAUAGUAUGGCUGUGGCAUUCCACCUCUGGAGCGGGCGCCACCACGUCCCUGGUACUCACCACCUCGUCCCUGAUAUUCACCGCCACGUCCCUGGUAUUCACGCGGGUGAUACUCAGGGGGCCCACCACCAGGGUGAUGUGACCCAGGUCCUCCGCGGCCCUGAUAAUGUCCACCACGACCCUGGUGUUGCCCGCCACCACGACCACCCUGUUGAGGCACCCAGCCACGUCCUCCCCCAGGUUGUUGAGUUCGCUCAGGCCGCUGUGAAGAACCUUGUCCAGAACCUCCUGAAGACUCUCCAGAAGUUUCUCCAGAGCCACCAGGGCCAGUUCUCUUCUUCCUCACCAUGAUGGGCACUGGCAUGAUAGGAAUACAUCAAGAGUGAGAUUGUAAAAAUACCAUGGAAAAAAUAGCCCGCUAUUUUUGCCGCUAUAGCCCGAAAUAGCUUGAAAAAAAUUAUGUCGCUAUUUGUAUUCAUGUACAAUUUUGCCACUAUUUUACCGCUAAAGUACGCUAAUUACGGUAUAUAAAACGCUAAACACCUUGGCCUUAGCUCGCUAUUUAAAACAUGGUAAAAAUAUAAUAAUUUAUCAAAACUUAACAUGAAGAAAACUGUUUAACUGCGUAUUUGUUAAAAAAUAGAGACAGAAGGUUGUAUAAUGAGAACUGAAACAGCUUAGAGAGUAAAGAAACUGUAAAUGAACUCAAAUAGAAGAUCAGCUUCAUCAAGGAAUUGCUAAAAUAAUAAAUAGAAAAUUUCUGAAUUACAGCUUGACAGCAUGAUGGAAACUAUUCCCGUGAGAAAAUAGACCAAGUACCAGAAGGCAGUGAACAAGAAAAACCAUGUAGGCAUAGAAGAAAGGGAAUGCCAUCUCACAAGUAUUAGGAAACAAGACUUAUUAUGUUUUUAUUGAAUUUAACAUUCCUUCAUUUUGAUUAUUAUUUCACCGCUUGUGGUUGGCUGCAAACUUCUAUUUAAACCAAAAGAGGCCAAGUAGAAGGUGAGGAAAAUGUGAGAAAGAACAUAUCAAAAAAGAAGCGCUCCAUCCAUACUCCAUAGGUGUCCUCUAGAUAUCAACUAUUUUAUUCGUUUAAUAACAAUAUCCUAAAAUAAAUAUACAGACAACAAGUAAACAAAAUCAACCAGUCACCCUUUCUAUAAUAGUAAAAAAGAAUUAUCCUAGCAUUUUCAUUCAAAAGGAUGCCAGAAGAAAUGUAUGAAUGAGAAACAUGUAGCACUGAAGUUGCUAAAAGAUACCCAUUUCAUCUAUACAAACAAAAUGAUCAGUAUCCUACUGCUAAAGGCCUGUCUUAUGUGGCCUUCUGAAAGCUUGUUUUAGCAGGGACCUUUUCUAGUCUCCACUGUUCAAUACAAUCCCAAUGCCUUGAGAUAACAUCAAACACUUCGGUAACCAUUGAAGGAACAUGAUUUUUUUUUCACAAUGCCGUGCUGCAUCCUUGAGUGUAGGAAACUCUAUGCUAGAACUUGUAAUCAAGUCCGAGAGCAAACGAUAAGUGAGAACAACAAACAUUAGGCAUAAAAAUAUGCCUAGAACACAUCCGCAAUCAUAGCCAAGGCUGCGGUUAGAAUCAUCACAAUGUGAUGCACUAAAAAGAACCCUCGUUUGUUAGCCAGAUACAAAGACAACAACAAAAAAAUAUAUCACCCUAAACCCAAUAACCAGAGAUGGAUACCAAGGCACAGGAGUGAAAAUACACAUAAACGGAGUGAACCUUACCCUAACGUAGAGGCAAAUAACCAUACAAGCAUGUAGCCAGUAGGGGAGGUACUGCUAUAUCAGUAAUUUCUAGAUAUAUGCUGAGGUUUUAACGAAGUAAUCAGUUCACCCGCAUAUGAGCACUGGACACCUGAAAGAACAGAUGUUCCUUUAUCUCAGAAAGCAAUUACCCCCCCCCCCCCCCCCCGGUUUCCACACUAAGCGCUUAGCUUAGAUGGACAAGCUAAAAUGAUCACAAAAACAGCCGCAAAUCGUCAAGCUCUCGUUGGAUCAGCUCACAACCAGGUAGAACCGGACAAAUAACCCGACAGACCCCACAAAAUCCACGAGCGCCCCCUCGAGCUCGUUCAUUUCAAGCACCAACACCGCCGCAACAAAGCAACCCAACCCCGGAAACGAUCGAACGCUGAAGCUACACCCCGCGCACUGAGGAAGCAGGCGAAAAGCAGCAGAUCUAGCGGAUUACGGGAGGGAGCGAUACCUGAGCAGGCUCGGCAGACGGCUGCUGCGCGGGAUGGCAACGGAGCGGGAGUGCUAAGCUCCCGCCUCCACUAAUGGCGCUCUCUACUGCCUCAGCGAAGCUGCUGUGCUGGGUGCUCCACUACUUGCCCACGACCACCACCACCACCACCACCUCCACCUCUCCGCCUUUUUUUGAGGAGGGGGAGGGGGAAGGCGACGGCCGCUUGUGGUUAAUUAGCGGCAGCGGCAGUGCGGGUGCGGCUCACUGGAGAAAGCGCCGAAGCGAGGGCAGCGGCUGCGGCAGCCGGCAGGGCUGGGUGCCCGUGUCAGGGUCACGGUCAGGUCGCGGGGCGGGUCGCGUCGCCGUGGACACGGGGACCCGUUCGGAGUGGGAUUAGUACUAGUACUGGAGAACGUGGGACGGACGCCACUGACGGCGUGGGGCCGAGGCGGCCAAGGACACCUCGGGCGCGACGCCACCGAUGGGAUUAGUGGGGCUAAUCAAGCGUUUUAGGCGCAAAAGACAGGAGAGGACGGGUGUCAGGAGUGGAUUAUCGUGCCCUCCUCGCCAUGUUAUCGCCCAGGGCCCAAAGACGUUUCGGUUGCUGAUUGGAUCGCCUCGCUCUCGUGUCCCGUCCGCAGAACUACGCGAUCAUACCGAAGCAUGAGACCGAGAGUGAAAUACUACGUAGUACCGGCCACCGAUGCACAGGCGUCAGAGCGUACGGCAUGAACCAAAGUAACAAACGAUCACGGAUCCAUCAAUGACCGUGAGUUGCCAACGGCGAACGCAGCUGUGCUUUGUAACGUGGGCACGGUGGUGGUUCGGCGGUGGCGGGUCGCUGUCAAUGCAGUCCCGUUUCGGCUAAGCCGUCCAGACCCGUAAGAGGCAAGAGGACGAGUCAAACGGGCGGGCGCCUCUCGAUGCUCGCAACAGCCAUGAGGUCAUCCGCAAUGGUUAUGCUAAGAGGAAUUCUAUUGGCUCUCAAUAGCACUUUACGAAUAGCUAGCGAGAUGAUAUAUAAAAAUAAUAAAAAAGUAGUACUCUUAUUGGCUAUCGAGAAGAGAGAUCAAAUAGCUAACGACUUCCUAAUAGCUAGCGACACAUAAAUAGCUAAUCUAGCAUAAUCUUCUAGAAAUAACUCUCUCACAAUACUCUCCACAAUAGUUAGUGACUUCCUAAUAGCUAGCGACUUCUUAAGCUAGCUAUUUCCAAAUUGCCAUUGAGAACCAAUAAUAUUCUUUCUAGAGACUAAAUAGCUAGUGAUUUGAACACCAUUGCAGACGUCCUUAGCCUGCAGUAGUAGUAGCAUUUGCUAUUGCUAUUGCUAUCGCACCCAACGUGCAACGAGCACAGCUGCACAGGCCUACUGCUGCUACUACGGCCACCCUACCGGAUCAAUGGCUGAGAUCGGUUCCGCAUACGGGGCGCACGAGCCAGUGCGUGGGCCACCGCUAGACUGUUCAAAAUCGCUGGCCCACCGGCUACCGUCCGGCCCCCAGGCGAUGACACGACGACCCCACUGGCCGCGCGGGCCCAGCGCGCAGCGAGUCGGGUGCCAGUACAGCGCGUCGCGCAAGUUGCCCGCUGGAUCGAGUAGGAGGAGUACUUGGAUAGGACGCAGUGGGCCCCGGCCGCGAUGGCGGGUCGUACUGGACGCGCGACCAGCCGUUGCUCUGCUGGGCCCGCGACCCGAUGACGGGGACGGUCAUGGAGCCCGCGGUACGGGCAAGGGGCCCUUUCGCUUUCGCGUCCAGGCUGCCCAGUGGGCUGCCUCGGGCCUCACGACCAGAAUGACACAACCGGCCGCGGGCCUUCUCCAAAGCCUGCACGGGACGGCGAGACGGAGACACAGGCACACAGACACAGCACAGCAGCGGCGCUCUAGCCUCUACUUCUACUCCUACUAGGCCUUGUUUAGUUCCCAAAAAAUUUUGCAAAAUUUUUCAGAUUUUCCGUCACAUCGAAUCUUUAGAUACAUGCAUGGAAUAUUAAAUAUAGACGAAAAUAAAAACUAAUUGCAUAGUUUGGUCGGAAUUGAUGAGAUGAAUCUUUUGAACCUAGUUAGUACAUAAUUGAACAAUAUUUAUCACAAACAAACGAAAGUGCUACAGUACCUGUUUUGUAAAAAAAUUUGGAACUAAACAAGGCCUAGGUGGCGCUCGCAGACGCAGGGUUGCAGGAAUCGACGAGCCGUAUAGUGGCGCCAGUGUUGCUAUCUAGGUACUGCGUAGGAUACAGCGAGUAUCACGUCGAUCGUACUAGGGCACAGUCCCUGGUUUUGUUGGAAGGGGACGAGACAGUUCUUCCUCGUCUCCGUGCUUCAGAGUUCACAUCAAGGGGGGAAGCGGGGCGCACAGUGAAAAGAUUUGCUGGGAUGCAAAAAAAGUAGUGUGGAUCGGUCCUAUAACUGUUAACGUGACUGCGUUUCGAUGUCACCACGAUGUUUGUUGCAAAGCGAUGAAUUCGGUGUUGACGAUGUGUCUAAGAACGACGAACAUCACUACUAGCUGUCACUGACUCACUGCAUUAGCACGUUGCCUUUGCCAUUCACGAGCAAAUAUUGGCAAGUCAUGAAAUAAGACAGUUUGGGUGUCUCUCGAAGCCACUGUUUCUAAAUAAUGAUGACUCCUCUCAUCUUUCACGGAAAGGAGAGGCUAGCCAAUGGAAACAAAGAAAAUGAAGCUUUUUGUCGGGACUUUUAAAUCUAAUAUGUCAAUGUUUUCUCACCUUUUAUACGAGAAAGAAAGGUUACGCGGUGAGAAAAGAAAAUGAAGCUUUAUUCAAAAGAAACAAGCAAGCAUCUUUCCUGCUGCCAUUGUCACAUAUAGCCUUUUCAGAGACUAGCCUCGCUGAUUUUCGUCACGACUUUAGAAUAUUUUAUUAAAGAGUUUUUUUUCAUUUUUAUUGAAUCUUUUGCCUCGUAAACUUCUAUAGUUUUCCUUGAUAAAGUAGGAAGUGCAUGCGCAACACUGGUAGGAGAAAAAAAAAUCAAACAAGGGUGCUGCUACAAUCGUGUGAAAUUGUGUUCAAUGAUAGUGAACGCCCACCCAUAUGCCACUAUGCCAGUGUGUCUCGGUGGAGUUGACGAUUCGAAAAUCGAAUCAAAUUGUCCCAUAUAUCUACAAGGUGAAAUAUUGUUUACUAAAUGGACACCAAUAGCGGACUCAAUGCUCGAAUGGACCCCGAGUAAUAAGGAUCAAGACGCCAAUGACAUUUUGUGUCUUUAACCUUCCAACAAGACGUAAAAGCAAUAAAUUUUUCAAAGUGCAUCGGCGCCAAAGCCCGGAUGAACGCCUAAGUUACCAGGCCCUAAGUCCACCACUGGUGGACAUCGAGGUUCAGUGGAGUUAGAGAAUUUUACGUGGAAAGUGUCCCUUAUGGUUCAAAAAUUAUAUGAAAUUUCCCCUUGUUUGGCGGAAGCAGCAAAGGCGUAUGCUUCAUCACCAAUUCAGGCCGGUCUUUGAUUGUCUUCUGUUGUUGCUUUGUUGGUGUGUCUCGAAGUAGAGGAACAAGCGCACUUUCGAUAACAAGGCUUCUUCGAUCGCCAUGGUGGUUAGGGAUGCUGCACUAGAGGAUGGGUUCAGGCAGGGUUCUCCUGCGUCUCGGCGUUUGCUACACUUUGGUCGCAAAAUCUGGCUGAUUUGUAAUAAACUCAAUUAUGUUCUAGUAGAUAGAUCUGUUACUUUGUUCUUGGCUCCUGCCAAUGGUCUCUCGCCACUGGCCAGGCCUCCCCUUGUACUUGUUCAAUUUUCCACUGCCUCUUAAUGAAACACAGACCGAUUGGUCUCGUUCGCGAAAAAAAAUUCCCUUGUGUAAUGGUCAAAAGGAAAUUAUAAUGAGGACGAUUAUGACUUCGUUUGGAUCUAUUCUAGCUAACUAUUAGCUCAGAAAAAGACCAUCUAACAACUUUUAGUUUGAUAAUGGAUAAGACACUAGCUAAUCUAUUAGAUAUAGAUUUAAAUGGGGUCUCAAAUACUUUUAGCAGCUAACUAUUACUAUUGGAUACAAACACCCUUUAGUUUUUUUUCAGCACCAAUCCAUCCCGAUCCAUAUGAGUUAAGAGGGAUUAAGGUAAAAUAAUCAAAUAAAUUUAACAUUGAUUUAAUUUGGAAUGGAUGAAUUGACAACAUUUUUAAGGAAGAAGAGAUGAAAUGGCCCCAAUACAAUGGCUUAUAUUACCGUGCACUUGCAAUAGUUGUUUCUCCUAUGGUGUGCUUGAUUCUUGGAUAUGGCUACUGGCUGAUACAGAAAUAAAAUUGUUGUAAUCACAACCUUGUAUUAUUUUUUAUCUCAUGCAUCAUAUCUUCACGAAUGCAACCAAACGACAUAUUUUAUUCGCCAAGCUAAUAAGAUACAAUCGACCAAAAAAGUAAACCAUUGCAUUUGUCGAGCCUGAUCCAAUGAAAACUAGCUCAACUGAUGCAAGCCAAACUAGAUCAUAUAAUCAGCUAACUAUAUAUCCUUACAGCCUGAUGGCGAACCAGUUGUAAGGCUGUCUCCAAUAGGAGACCUAUUUGGGAUCAGAAGAGACAUAACCCAAAUUUGGGUAUCCUCUCUCCUUGAGACCUAUUUGCAGAGAGUGUUGUCUUUUAGGUCUUGUUGUUGGAGAAGACUAAAAAUAGGUAUGUAACUUUUUACCUAUAGCGCUACCCAAAGGACAAAUGGGUAUUGUAUUUUGGGUAACGAUUGUUGGAGAUAGUCUAACUGUGUCACUCUCAACCAAACACAUUACUAUAAGCCGUAAGGGCCUGUAUGGUUACAGAGGGUAAAAUUUACCGCCCGUUGCACAUGUAUGAAAAACUAAAUAUAAACUAUUUACGAAACUAAAAACAUAGAUAAAAAGUAAUUUACAAGAUGAAUCUUUAAACAUAAUUAGUUCAUGAUUAAACAUUAAUUACUAAAUAAAAUAGAAAUGCUACAGCCAACCAAACACCCCCGGACGCAGUCACAACACUCGACUGGUAGAGUAUGUUGGACGUAUUUUUUUUUCUUCAAAAAAUGCGUAAUGCAAGCAGGAUAGAUCUUCAUCAGAUGCUACAAUGUCGUUUUCUUUUCUUCCUCCGUGUUGUUUUCAAUAUAAGGCCUUGUUUAGAUAUGAAAAUUUUUUGAAUUUCACUACUGUAGCACUUUCGUUUGUUUGCGAUAAAUAUUGUUCUAUCAAAGACUAACUAGGGUCAAAAGAUUCGUCUCGCGAUUUACAAUCAAACUGUAUGAUUAGUUUUUAUUUUCAUUUAUAUUUAAUGCUUCAUGCAUGUGGUAUAAAAUUCGAUGUGAUGGAAAAAUUUUGAAAACUUUUUGAUUUUGGAUGAACAAAACAAGGCCUAAAAAAAAUAAACAAGCCGUUUGCAAGAACUGAACUGUUGCUCCACUAGCGAUGAGGAUACCGUUCCGAGGCGAGAAAAGAUGUCCUUUGCUGACACGUCACACGACGGUGCAAAGCGGACCGGGCGCGCGACGUGACAGUUCGCUUGAGCCCAUGGCGAUGGUACGGCCUUGUUUAGUUCACCCGAAAUCCAAAAAGUUUUCAAGAUUCCCAAUCACAUCGAAUCUUGAGACACAUGUAUAAAGCAUUAAAUAUAGACAAAAAUAAAAACUAAUCGCACAGUUUGACUGUAAAUCACGAAAUAAAUCUUUUGAUCCUAAUUAGUAUAUGAUUGGACAAUAUUUACGGACGGCGGACCCGUGGACCCGCGGGCGGGACCCAGGGCAGUCGUCGCCGACGUGUCAGCCGGCACGGCGCAUGGGCCCCACCUCUAUCGCGUGUCAGGCCUCUCCGAGCUCGAAACGUGUCCCACAGGGGCAGGUGACCCCACCUGCACGACGGCGUACUACGGGCGCACGCACCUCUGGUGGUGGACUUGCUGUACUGCUGUGGGUGUACAGUGUAUAGUACGUACUACUGCUGUACGUACUGCACCCCCGGCCCAUAAUGCCGUGGGCCCGCCGCGUCAUCCGCGCGUGGUUUUGGUUGCUACUGUGCGGCACUGCCGCAUCGCUGGCACAGCGUGACGCACCACGCACGGAGCCGAACCGAGCCGAAUCCCCCCACCCGCGAUGCCACGCACGGCCUUGCCGCGGUUGCCGCCAUGGAUGAUGGGCCCGCCCGCCGCGGUGGCGGCCCGAAGGCCGAAAGAUCCACCAGGGUAUCCAACGGCUCUUGCAUAGCGCUAAUGGGCACGUUACUGUUCCGUGCGACGCAAGUGCCAAAUUGGCAAAUGGCUGUCUAUUUUUUUCUAUUGUCGGCAGGCUCUUGGAGGUGUCGUUCUGGUUUGGUUACUGUUUCGGCUUGUGCGUUUGUGAGUUUGUGUGCGUUUUGGAUGUUGCUGUUGUGCCUGUUGUCCUUUUGCGAAAAUAAAAAUCUACUUAUAAACUGAUGUAGUCGUUUUGUGAAUUAAAAUGCUGUAGAGACUGGCUGAGAAACCAAGACUCGUUCCAUGAAUCACCCUCGACGAUGAUGUGCUAACACAAAAAAAAAUCCAAUAGAUUAAUACUAGUUAUCAGCUAAAAAUAGUAGGCGAGGAUCAAACAGGCUACAGGCCUGCUUAUAGAUUUAUUAAAUCCGCUAAGCAAAUGGAGGUGAGGAGGUUCUGGUGGUUCAUGUAGAUCUUCAACUAAUCCAACAAUCUAUUAAACGUCCACAUGGAUUAGUAGAAUGAAUCAAGGUUUUCCUGAGACGAGAUGGGUAUGCAUAUGCAGAUAUGUUUCAUGCGGUUACGGGGCGCGGACCAGUCAGUAUGGAGCCGGGGGCAUCAUGCAUGCAUGGAGAGCGCCGACCGUGAACAGCUGUGGCAUGCAUGGGCGUCCAGGCAGCCCAGCAGUGUGAAAAAAAAAAAGACGAUCCAUCAAUGUCUUGUACAUGUGCUGUGCUAACAAUGGCAUUCGUUCCUCCGAGGUAGCUGGUGCCGAGCUCUCACAUUCAGCUCGGCUGGCUCCACAGCUGUUUACAUGCUGCUGCUCUGGCUUGUUUCUCUCGGUCAAGCUACGCUAGGCAGGUGGCUGAACAUGUCACUGCAUUAGAAUCACCGCAACGGCGCAACCCACACGUUGUAUAUCCCUUCUCAUCACUAACCGCAGGCUUUAUUAGCUUAGUUCACUGAUGAGUGAUGACGGACGACGACGACGACGACGCGACCCAAAGAACGAACGAUCCGGUCGACGAACUGUUCCUCGAGGGCCCGAGCGCAUGCAGUCGCUGUAGUCUGUAGGCAGGCAACAGUGUAAUGUGAAGCCCAGUCGGCCGGCACGGCAUGGCAUGGGCGUGCGCGACCAUGCCAACAGGAACAGCGGCCUCGACAGGUCGCCGAGACGACAACAGCAAAGGGACCGACGUGAUGCACGCACGAGCGCGAUUCCUCCAUGCCGGAUGCCGGUUGCCGGAAGCCCGCGGUCAAAAGGAGGCCCCGCCCGUGCCGACCCGGCGCUCUCUGCUAGCGCGUAGCGGCGCACAAUCAUGCACGCGAACUGUGCGGUGAUCUGACGGGACGACGACACGGCCGGCCGGGGCAUGCAGAUGCACAAGCACAGCAGAAGCAGCAGCAGCAGCAGAAGCGAGGAAAAGGCAAAAAACCGGAAGCGGGCAGGGCAAAAGGGGACGGUCGCCGAAGCGAGACGAGGAAGGAGGGCACGGACACGGGCGUACCUUGAUGGGGGCGCCCGUUGUUCUCCACCCGCAUCGCCAUGUCAAGGUCACACAUCGUCCUCGUCCACGACGCCGCGCGCCAAAGCUGGAACUGAAAGCAGGAGGCCGGGCACGAGCCGGCAGCCGGAUCGCGGCCACUUCUGUGUCCGUCCCCUCGUCUGUCUGCCGACCGAUCGAGAGGUGGAAGAAGAGCUAGGUCCUCGUCUGACUGCUGCUGCCUGGGGCUGGGGGCGUGGAUCACGAGCCAAGAGAUGCCGGGCGCCGGGGUCUUAUUGUUAUUGGUGGCUGGCAGGCUGGGCGAAGCUAGCGAUGGCUGGCUGGCGCUGCUAGGGGGAGGGGGAGGAGGAGGAGGUCCGUGGUGGGUGGGGCUCCCUCGGGCUCGUCUGCACUACUGCAUCCCUGGCCUCGUCGUCGUAAGCAAAAGAUAUCGGUGAUGUAAGCUUCAAGAUAUGCCCAAUUAUUGCCGCUGGCGCACGGAGAAAAAAUAUUGCGCCGGUGCAGGUGGUAUGCGACUUCCAUUUUUGCGAGUUGCGGCUACUGCUCGCUCGUUGGUAAUGGACUAAUGGUGUGGAUGAGCCAUUAGCCAUUAGCUGAUCGAUGUGCGAGCUUUAGCUUCCGUUAGGUUUAGGUGGAGGGCCCCCCGCGUUCCCUGCAGCAAAUGCGGCUGCCACUAUAUACAUCGAUCAUAUUCGCCAUUAAAAAUACCACAACAUGGUUGGUCAAGAGGAAUCCUUUGCUAAAUAAGGUGGUCCGCUGAUCCUAGUUACCAACUAUGGUGCGUCGAAAUGACCCAACAUAUGGUACACAUUUGUUUAGCAAGAUUUGCGCUUUGUAGUGUAGUCCCCCAGGCUCUCAGAUAGCGAAAUAAACAAGACAGCACUAACAAAAGUUUAUAUAAUUUCCGUCUAGUCACCUGAUCAGAUCAUUGGUUGGCCAAGUUGAGAUCUAGUCAGACAUUUGAGUAAUCCGACGCGCAUCGGCAGUAGUUAUCUGAAGUGAUGUGUAUGCAGUCGUUGGGCUAAGGCCUUGUUUAGUUCACCCCAAAAAGCAAAAAGUUUUCAAGAUUCCCCGUCACAUCGAAUCUUGUGGCACAUGCAUGAAGCAUUAAAUAUAGACGAAAUCAAAAACUAAUUACACAGUUUAGCUGGAAAUCGCGAGACGAAUCUUUUGAUUCUAGUUAGUCCAUAAUUGGAUAAUAUUUGUCACAAACAAACGAAAGUGCUACAGUACCGAAAUCCAAAAUCUUUUCGGAACUAAACAAGGCCUAAAAUAAAUUUGUGCCGCACGAAGAGUUGCAGCUGAUGACCUGUUGGAAAGGGACUGAUAUGGUUUCAUAUGGUCUGGAAGCUCAUCCGCUUUGUCGCCACACCAUCGAUUGCUCGGUAUUGCCUGGCAUUCCAAUGAAGAACAUUGUAUAUAUGGCUGGCCUGGUGGUUGAGUUCUUUUUUUCUUAUUGAAAGACAGCUUACUUGGCACCUCCUUAAAAGACAAGGUUGUGUGUGCAUCACCUCCUUAGCAAUUUCAGGAAGAUAUAUAGUUUUUAAAUAAAAGUCGUUGUUGCCUUUUUUUUGUGAAUCACAAUAUUUCCAGGUAUUUAUUUAUUGGCUCAUUUGUCCGAAUAGGAUAUGCGAGGGAAUAUACCCACCGUUGUGAAAACUUUGUUUUUGUAGUAAAAUGACAAUAUCUCGAGGGGUUUAGGUCUGAUUGUCCCCCACAAUAAAAGUUUGAGAAAAUACGAAAUAGUAGAAAGGGACACACACACAAAAAGAUACGAGGCCUCAAAAGCCCACGACGAGAACCUGAACUUCCGAAUGGGCUGCGAUCCAAGAACAGAUACGUGUCUAAGAAAUGGGCUCAUCUAACCAUAUCUACAGCCCAGUAGUUUUGCAAGCUCUGUACCUUCUGUUCUGCAUGUCCAUGACCAUGUCUACAGCAGCGUCCUUCGCAGGUUGCUGUUGUUCUUUUUUUUUUUCAGAAAUCAGAACACAAAACAAUAGGGAGUUGCCGACAAAGAUUGAGCCUAAGUAUCUGUUCAACAAGAUCUGACUGAGCGUUGCUGAGUUUGCUCAGAGUUUGCUGCUUGCCACAUGUCAACACAAUAACACCAGCGGUACUAGUAACAGGAAUUGGAGGGAAGAAGCUAAAGUAUAGCAGAAGACGGGAUAAUUUGGAGAGCGGUGGAAGGAUUUUUGGAAUUAUUGUAUACUUAUUUAUCUUUUCUUUUUUUUCUCGAAUACGCAAGAGGAUUGCGUAUCAUUAUAUUAGAAGGGAAAGGAAAUUCGAACAAUACAAAACGAGUUCACCUGCCGUAGCAGGAAAUGAAAUAAAAACACUGCAGACUGUAACCAUCCUCGGUGGAUAGCGAUGCUACCCCCCGAGCCAAGAACUCCUAAAUUUCUUGCGCCCGCGCUCAUCCAUUGUUCGGCGUCUGCUUUGAUCACAGCCAGUAGCUCGAGUACGGUGAGUGUGGUCCCCCGAAAGCAACGCGCGUUCCGCUGCUUCCAUAUAUGCCAAGAGACGAGGGCGAACAGCGAGUCUGCGCCCUUCCUCGCCGGUCCAUGCCACAGGGCCCGGAUGCGCCUCCACCACGCGAUGACUGUCUGCUGCGCCGGUGGCAAUUGUUUGUCCAGACCGGACAGGAUGAGGAACCAUACCUCUCUAGUGAAAGGGCAGUUCGUCAGUAUGUGAUCGAUGGACUCAUUCGCCUGGUCACACAGGAAACACUCAGACUAUGCUUGCAGCCCGUGUCUCGCCCGACGAUCAUUGGUCCAGUGUCGCUUCUUGAAGGCCAGCCAAAGAAAGAUCUUUACCCGUAGCGGCGCCCAGGAGUUCCAGAUUAGCUUGUGGCCCCGAAAAAUGGUUCCACCAGCUUGAAGUUUGCAGUAGGCUGAUUUUGCCGUGUACUCCCCAUCGACUGUCCAUCGCCAGAUGGUUGUGUCCGGGCUAUCGGUAAGGAUGAUGUUCUCAGUGGCCGCCCAAAGAUCUAGGUACUCGCCAGCCUCAACAAUAGAGAGCCCGCCACAGAUCGAUCUUAUCCAAGCCCGUCCCGAUAGUCCUUGGCGCACCGUCAAGGUAGAUUUGAUUCUUCUGGGCACCUUUGUGGAAAGGUUGGGUGCGAUGUCACUGAUACCUUCUCCUUGGAUCCAUCGAUCCUCCCAGAACAAGGAAGAGUUGCCGUCACCGAGGAGCGUGAACGUGGAGGCCUUGAAGAAAGCCAAUACCUCUGGGUCGGCUUUGAUAGGUAGCUCACUCCAUGCUCUGGUGUUAUCCGUCUUUUGUAGCCACAACCACCUGGUUUGAAGGGCGUAGCCGACCAACUUCAAGUUUGAAAUGCCGAGCCCACCUAGUUCCGUUGGCCGACAGCAAGUUUCCCAGGCCACCAUGCAUCGGCCGCGCACCGAGGCAUCUUUGCCAACCCAAAGAAACUUCCUGCAGAUCGCAUCGAUCUCUUUGCGCACCCACGGAGGUAAACUGUCAGCCAUCGUCGAGUAGAUGGGGAUCGCCCUUAGGACGGACUUGAUCCAGAUCAGGCGACCGCUCCUUGCCAUGAGAGAUCCGUGGCAGGGCGGGAGCUUCCUUGCAACCGCUUCGAUCAACGCCUGAUGUUCUGCCUUUGGCACCUUCUUGGUGGUCAGGGGCAAACCAAGGUACCGUAGUGGGAACUGCUGCACCUGGCAGCCUAGGAUGCGCACGAUGUCGUUCAAGACCUCUUCACCGCCAUAGAUCGGGGUUACUGAGCACUUGGACAGAUUGGUUUGGAGUCCAGUCGCAGCUCCAAAGAUGGAAAGAAUUUCCUUUACUGCAAGGGCUUCUUGUAUGGUUGGUCUGAUGAAGAUGAUUGCAUCAUCGGCGUAGAUACUGCACUGAAAUUUGAUCCCAAGCGGCUCAAUAGGUCUCAGCACGCCAUCUGCACUUGCCUUUGCCAUCAGCCGGUGAAGGAUGUCCAUGGCCAGUAUGAAUAGCAUAGGUGAAAGGGAAUCCCCUUGGCGCACGCCCCGUAGGUGCCUGAUCGCUGGUCCUGGUGUUCCGUUAAGCAUUAUCUGGGAGGAUGCGGUGGCGAACAGCCCCUCAAUCCACUGGCACCAUCUCGGUCCGAACCCCCGCGCCCGAAGCAGCUCGAACAAAAAGGGCCAAGAGAGCGUGUCAAAGGCUUUGGAGAUGUCGAUCUUGAGAAGCAGCAUCGGCGUCUUCUUUUUGCGCAGCAUGACCGCGGCCCGUUGAACAUAUUUGAAAUUGUCGUGUAUGGUCCGCGAUCUGAUGAAUGCGUUUUGGUUUUUCUCCACCAGCGCGUCUAGCUUCGGCGCCAACCUGACCGCGAGGAUUUUUGAGAUUAGCUUGGCGAAGCUGUGGAUCAUGGAGAUUGGCCGAAAAUCGGAUGGCGCUGUUGCUCCGACCCGCUUGGGAAGAAGGAUGAUGAGGGCGUUGUUCAAUUUGCUCAUGCCGCGCCGAUCUCCUGCAGUGAACGCACUGACGGCGGCCAUCACGUCCUCCUGGAUUAUAUUCCAGGCGCUCUUGUAGAACGCCCCUGUGAAACCGUCCGGUCCUGGUGCUCGGUCCGCGGGCAACUGCUUGAUUGCGUGCCAAACUUCUUCCGCGGUGAUGUCCAGUUCAAGGUCCUCUAGCGGUACUGGGUGAAUCCCAAGUGCCGUAAAGUUCAGCGUGGUUCUAGUUGAUGGCGCUGCACCGAAGACUGAGCUGAAGUGAUCGAACAGCGCGCGUUCCAUGUCAUCGUGGUCCGCAGCGACAUGUUCAUCGAUGGUAAGAGAUGGGAUGUAGUUCCGGCGUUUCCUGCCCCUGGCGAUGAGGUGAAAGUACGCAGUGUUCGCGUCUCCCUCAGAGAGGUGGCGGAUACGCGAACGCUGUCUGGCGAUCGUCCGAUCGAGUGAGGAGAGGCCGAGGCAUCUGAGUUUCAUCCUCUUGCGCAGCUCCUGCUCUGUUUCGCUCAGCUGUCGCACUUCCUGCGCCGAGUCGAGGCAGUAGACGAGCUCUCGUGCCAUGAGGAGUUGCUCCUUCACCCCUCCGAUCCUCUUCGCUGACCAGCUUUGCAGGGCGCGGGUUAGAAUCCGAAGUCGAUCAUCAAGCCGUGCGAGUGGUCCCUGGUGACUGUCCGAUCCAUUCCAGGCGUCGUUUACAACAUGCUGAAAUUCCUCGAACCGUGGCCAGAACACCUCGAAGUGAAACCUGGCCUUGGACAUGCCUCCCAUGUUGGUGCACAGCAACAAAGGACAGUGGUCUGAGGCGUCCGAACCAAGAGAUCGUAGGUGGGCGUUGGUGAAUAUCUCGUCCCACUGUGUCCAGACAAGUACCCGAUCGAGUCGUUCCAGCGUGGGGUUCUGGCGCUCGUUACUCCAGGUGAAGCUGCGGCCAUGCAGGUGGACAUCGUGUAGCUCUAAGGCUCCCACUGUGUUCCUUGUCUUCGAUCCCUUCUCUCUAAACUCGCCCAGCUAUUUAACAGCUAAGGCACCUCAGUUCAUGGGUCUUGCCCUGUCCAUGUAUACAUCACACUACUAAGCCAUUCGUUCUGCCAUUGGGAACCCAAGAACAUUUGUUGGGCCUCCUCUUCAGUCCUCGCCCCAUCCCGUGCAUCUAGACUUGCCUCCACAUGUUCAGGUUCAGGACUGCUGACAUUGCCUCUUCUUGAGAUGCAGCUUGAUCCCAAGCAUGUGCAAAAGAGAAUUGUUGUUGCACAACCGUCGAAUCUUCCUAAGUUGCUUGACUCUCAGACCACCCCGACCGCCACUCGAUCCAUACUUGAUGAAAUGGAGACAAGAUGUGUGCCCAACGUUUCUGUAGGACAUGUUUAGGAACGCGUAAGAGUUCAAACCUUAUGGCAUCUUAUUGCUGCCAAGCAAAACAAGCGCUAAGGCUCUUGUAGCAGGUAGCUAUGAUCGAUUUGGUUCGACACCGUUGGAUCCCUUUUGCUUUACAUAUACACCCUGUACUGCAAUUCUGCAGACGAUCGCUUCAUCUCAUCAACCAUUGCGUGUAGGAAGCAAUACGCAUUCAGCUAGCUGCUAUAUAUAGAAACCUCUCCUGUCAGCUGCUCUUCCUCUGGUCCGAGAGGUAACCGCACAGAUCAGGAAAACUAGAGGUAGUGUUCACCCACCAAUCCGUGAUUGUCACAUCUGGAUACACAGCUGCUAGCUUUUUCACUAGGACGAACAGACUGAAUGCCAAUAGUAGCACUUCAUGUGCAUGCCACCGAUAUAUAUAUGUACCGAUGCUCACAAAACGUUGCGUGAGCGUGUAAUUAGGAUUCGGUAGAUAGACAAUUAAGCAUGUCACAAUCUGGUGUGUAUUCGGUGAACUUUGCGUCAAACAGCACACUCAACCAGCAUGUCACGAUCGGCCCCGUUUCGUUACCAAUUUUCGUUCGGUUUAAAGCAAAUAUAUGCACCGUUCCUUCAAAUAUAUGCAGUACAUUCGGUGCGGUAUUGCCACAAAUUAUUCAACCCGAUCGAGCUACAUGCUACUGAUGUGCUCGAUCAACGCAAACGCCGCAUUGCGCGUGCACAAUAUAGCUAUAGCACACUAGUAAUACUGUAUGUUGUCACGGUACACAUGAGGCCUAGCAGCCCAAGCAAGAAGAGUACAAGACACAAGAAGCUGAACCCGAAGUUUGUUGGCCCAACUUGGAGCAAGUAAUUAACCUGAAGCUCAGUCCAGCUGCGUCUGGAGAGCGUGCUGUGCUUAACAGCUGUGUAAUGAAUUCAGUUUAAGAAGAAGGAGAGAGAGCAAACUAGGGGAAAGUAAAAUAUUUUUUUUUCGAAAGACGGCAUAAAGAUUUUGCCGUAUUUUUAUUAGUCGAGGAAAAAAAAUGCAACAUAAUUACAACUCCCACUUAAAAACUCUCAACCACUGGAGGGAAAGUAAAAUAUGCCCUUUGCUAGAAUAUUGUUACAUAUGUGUUGGUGUGUGUGUGGUACAAACUCUUCAUAUCUAUACUUGUAUGGCGCGGCCUGACCCGCGUGCGCGGCUGCAUGCACUUGUGCGCGGCUGCUUGGCGAAGACCGAAGAGCGUGUUGCUGAGCAGCUGGUUGGAGGUGACGAAGCCCACCAGGAGCGUGCCCUGGAUCACCGUGUCAGGAUCUCCGACGCGCAAGGGUGCGUGUGCGGCGGGUUCUGCCCGCCGGCCGGGGACGAAGUCGAUGCGCGCCAGCGAGAUGCCCAGCGUGUUCAGCCCCGGGAUCUGGCCAUCUGGGCCACCGCCACCGGCGUCACGGCGGAGCCCUGCGCGCGCGUUUGGUGCCAUCGGCACUAUGUGGAAGAAGAUGUCGCGGUUGCGUUCACCACGUUCGGGUUCUUUUGCACACCACUCCGUUCACCGGCACUGCAUGCAUAUGCAUGCACACGUCCACCCGUGUCAGUACUUUUGUCGUCAUCGCAAAUCAUCAUACACAAUUAAUCACCUUUGAGUAGUAUACAUUGCAUGCAUGCCUUCAAUACAUGCAUAAAUAUAGAUAACUGAGCUCUCUCUGUAGACUGUAUAGUGCUGCAAAAGUUCAUGCUUUGUGUUGCAUGCACAUAUAUGUACCUGCCUACAAAUGUACUGUGUUUAUUUACCAGGGCUAUUGUUAUCAGCAACGCAGAAGUCCUGGAGCUGGGUUGGAUCACAGUUACCAGACCACGGGGACUGAAGUAAAACCCACAACCGCUAGCACUGCAAGCAGUGUAGUAGGAGAAAGGCACAGGAAGCCACGGCGCUGUUUCUUUGCUAGUGAUCAAGUGUGCUCGAUCAAGCUGCUUGAUUAGUUUGUGGUCUGCAACACUUGCCAGUGCACCAAUUUAAAGGUAGUGUUCACCCAACAGUCUGUGAUUCUCGCAUCUAGAUCAACACAUGAAAACAGAGAAUCACUUGCGUAACGGCGAGCAGUCAAACCAAACAGGCAUGCAACCACUAGUCAGAUACUCAGAUCAUAUAUGUGCCCACACGAUGUAUAUAAUAUUUUAUACAAGUUUGAAUAUAUAUCUUGAGAUGCAAAAUCUAUACCUAUACCUAUUAAUCUAUAUCUAUAUCUAUCUAUAUAUAUAUAUAUAUAUAUAUAUAUAUACCUAAUACUAAAGAGGCAAAAUUUCAGCCUCAAAUUUGGUCAGGAAAUUUUUUCGUCUAAUCCAAGUCCCAGUCCGUCUCAUACUUUUGUACCAGAUUUCAGAUCGAGUCCAAAACAAAAUCACAUACAAAUCAGUACCAUAUACCAGAUUCCAGGUAGAGCCAAAACGAAACCACAAACAAAUCAUGUAUCAUAUAUCCGACGGCAAUAGCUCCGCGAGCCUAGAAAAUCUGCUGACUGGAGCUAGAACGCGCACCUAGAGCCGAAAAAAAUAGCUUCACCCGGCUCGUCUUUGGUUUGGUCCGCUUCGGUAUCGCACUGAUUCGGAGAUGGGAUGUGGCGGCACGGGGAGGAAGAGAAGUGAGGGCGCGCUGAUUUGGGGAGGAGAAGGGCGAGAUAUAUCCGACGGCAAUAGCUCCGCGAGCCUAGAAAAUCUGCUGACUGGAGCUAGAACGCGCACCUGGAGCGGAAAAAAACAGCUUCACCUGGCUCGUCUUUGGUUUGGUCCGGAAUAACAAAACAUCUGGUACAGAUACACCGGAAUACACCUGUAACAAAACAUCUCAUUCCAAAUGAAAAUCCAAAAUGAAAUUGAUAAAUAUAAGUAUGCUCGAGACGGAGCUGAUAGGAAGUUCAAAGCGAAAGGAUAGUUAAGGUUCGGAAAUAGAAAAAUAAAUUUGGUGACUCUUGGAACAUAUUGUUGGGAGUUGAGUACAAUAAUUUUUAUUUCGUACUUCCACUCCUGCUAACUCAAUUUUUUAAUUGAUGGUUAAAAUACAAACCAACACAUAAUAACAGUCGAUUUAGUUAGACGCUCGCUUUUACCUUGACAUGAAGCACAAAUAAAUAGUGACUCUUUUUGGGUUGUUAUAUGAUCCAAUAAAAUUCAUUCUUUAUAUAGUGUUUGUGCACAACUUAUUUCAUGUUUGAGUUCGCAUCGCCUAAUCUUACUUUUGCAAAUACUUAACAUGUUUAACAAGACAAUGAUAAUUAUUUUCAAAAAAAAAUAUUUAUAUUAUAGAACAAAAUAGAUGAAGACAAAGACAAAUUAUGUUAAAUAAUGUCUUCCUGCCUCCGAAUUUAAAAGUUACAAAGUAUAUGUAACUAUGAAUAUAUAUGGUCUCCUUCACAUAUUUUAUUUGAUUGUCUACAUAUGAAUAUUGUGAACAUAGAUUGUAUAUGCAAAUAGAAAUCAUUAAGCAAUAAUGACGAGUAAUUUUAAAAAAGUCUCAAACCAUGUUUAAUUGUCAAUUCCUUAAUUAAAAAAAUGUUCAGUUGUUUAUUAGACUUGGACAUAUUAGUGUUUAUUCUCCCGUUGCAACACACGGGCAUGUUUUCCUAGUAUAUAUUAAACGAGGAUGUGGUUGGGAAGACAAGAAAUGAUGUUGAACCGUCGUUAGAUUUUGACAUAAAGAAAUGCACUUUUACAUGGAGGUCGUAUUCAUAGAACCACAUACUGGAUGAACUUAGGGUCCCUAUUCAAACCGACUAGGAUAUUGCUUUAUCCCUACGUCGAGUUUUCUUGCGCACAACUUUGUAGAUGGAUCAAGCUACGAAUCAUCUUGUAAUGGGCUAAAACUACCGACCCAAGUCUAGCCAUAAGGGUAUAGGAAUUUAUACUCCCACAACUAGUCCCCGAGCACCAUGUAUUAUGAAGCGACACACCGUCUUGAACUUCUUCGACCAGUGAUAAGGACAAUCUUUUUUCAUAAUUACCGAAAAAGUAGGUUGUCCAAAUAAUGCAUGGUGCUCUUAAGAAAGAAGAUUUCUUUUCUCGUGAAGUGUGCCGACUUUACUUUUAUGAAAAGUAUAAGCUUCUAAAAAGCAAGCAUAUUCACCGUAAGGUGAAGUGUGACCACUUAGUCCCCGAGCCUGGUGGUUGGCACAGUCCCCGAGCACAACGUAGAGACUAGUCGAUAAAUCUCCGAGUGUGGUUGGGAACAUAAACGUACUCGGUGGUCGGCAUAGUCUUCGAGCACAGCGUAGAGACUAGUUAACAAAUUCCCGAGCGUGGUUGGGAAUGUAAGCAUGCUCGGUGGUCGGAGCAAUCCCCGAACACAGCGUAGGGAAUGGUCGACGAGUCCCCAAGCGUAGCUUGUUAACUAGGCCAAACUCCUAAAAAAUAAAUAUAGAAAAUAUGUAAUACAUGAUGUAUAAAUAAACUCUAGAUAAAAAACAACACCCAGUUUUAGAUUUUUUGUUUUAUUAAAAUUAGCACGAAUAGUUAAUUUAUCCUAGAGCUUGUACCAGCUCUGGUCUAGCCAACAAUCUAGAGCAUGAGAUGCGGAAAGACACACAUAGGAUUGCCAGCCUCACUAGAGAGCUACUGCCGACCACCCGAAACGUAGAGGGCGGAUCUCGUGCAUGUGUGGGGAGGAGUCGGAGACAGUGCCGGCUCUAAAAAACUCGUGUAGAAGAAAAAACUAAUCGGCUAACCAAAAAGUUAUUUUGAAAGAUAAUAAUAUCAAAAAUAUUAUGCUAAAAAUAAAUAAAAAUAUUAGAAGUGCACUUUUCUUUGGACGAAAGUCUGUUCGGUGGCGACAAAAUUGUUUGAUCCUCAAGUUUUAUGAUGUGUUGUCAUGAAGGUGGUCGCGAGCGCUGUUCUUUGUAGCCAUCAUUAUUGCGACAUGACAGGUGGUCAGAGUAGGCCAAGAAACUUGGUCGAAAGCCCGAGCAGAUCGGUGUUGUCGAUCUGUCUCCUUUUGUAGCCGGGAAGCGGCGAUGUGUUGUCGACGUGGUCGGAGACGUUGCUGAAGUGGUCGAAGCCGUAGCCAGCGUGGUUAGAGCCGCAACCGACGUCGAUGAAGAAGUGAUCGGCGCAGAUUAGAUCUGCACCUCCUCCAUGGUCGUGGCGGUGAAGUCGUUGAAGCCGGUGGUCUAGGUAAUCUGGCCGAUGGUGAACGUGAGACCGCUCGUCACGGCCGUGGAGUCGGAGAUAAUGACCAUCUGCUUCGCCUGGGAAGCUGUACGCACACUCCCUACCUGGCGUGCCACUAUCGACGAAAGCUGGUUGGCAGUCUACCUUAGGGUAUACCCACAGUAGUAGUUUAUCGGCAGACAGGUGCGCAAACUACGAACUUGAUGGUGACGUAAGACACAAACAAGGAGUUUAUCUUGGUUCGGCCGCCGUAAAGGCGUAAUACCCCCUCCUUACAUAGUCUUGGGGACAAGGUUACAAAUGUAGAAAUUAAUCCUAACCGGUUACAAUUCAACCCAAGUCUAGUCAUAAGGAUAUAUGGAUUUAUAUCCUCACAUAUAUCUUUACCGGCCAUGGAUGAAAGUCAUCCGAUAGAUUUAUCACUUAUUAUUCCGUUUGAGUCUAUUCCACCCAAACUUGAAUAAUAAAGUCUUAUGAUUUAGUUUUUAACACAUCCGCAUUUUGAAAAUAGUGCAAAAAGGUUUUAUCCCUAUGAAACUAUAUUUAUUUUCAUAAAAUUUUUAUUAUUUCUCUCUUUAUUUAUAUGAUGCCAUGUCAACAUAUUUAAUAUUUAUAAAACUUCAAUGAAACUUUAUUAGGACUGAUAUAAAACUCUAAUGAAACUCGUCUGGGACACGUUCGAACUUUGAUAAUGGAUGCUUUAAGUACAUACCUUCUCAUCGUUUCUUUAUAUGUUUAUAAGUACGUACCUUCUCGUCCCCUUUUUUAUAUGUCAUUCUCGAAAAUUACUAAAUACUCUCUGAUAUUUUGAACUUUAAGAUAUCAUGUUUGACCGCUCGUCUUACUCAAAAUUUUUGUACAAAUUAUAAAAUAAAUAAAUUAUUAUUAAAAUAUCUCUAAUAAUCAAAUAAAUCAUAUAAAAUAAAUAAUAUUAUACAAAAAGUUAUAAUAAAAUAGAUGGUCAAAUAAAAUGUCUGAAAAUCAACGACAGCGUUUUUUAAAUGGAGGAAAGUAUAUAUUAAACAUAUUAAUAUUUAUAAUGCAUAAUCAGUAUCAUUCGUUAGACCUUUAAAUUUAUUUUUAUAAUAAAUUUAUUUAGAGAUAUAAAUAUUACUAUUAUUUUAUAUUAAUCUAGCUAAAGUAAAAAAAAAAGCUCGAACAGACACUCAGCGACACUCAAUAAGAGACAAGGGAGUAUAUGCUCCGUACAUCUCAUUCAAAGGACGACUAAGCAUGUGCAAAUAAGUCAAAAUAAGCCAAUGCACUGUAGUUGCGCACGCAUGCACUAAUGCCCAGUUCGCAAAAAUUUUCAAGAUUUUCCGUCACAUUGAAUCUUUGGUCGCAUGCAUGGAGCAUUAAAUAUAGAUGAAAAUAAAAACUAAUUGCACAGUUUAUCUGUAAUUUGUGAGAUGAAUCUUUUGAGUCUAGUUACUCCAUAAUUAGACAAUGUUUGUCAAAAAAACGAAAGUGCUACAGUAGCCAAAAACCCAAUUUUUUGCCACCUAAACAAGGCCACAUCUACAAUACCACUUGAAGCAACAGCUCUUGCUUUGGUAGAAGCGAACUCCUUUUUUUCCUUCUUCUAGCUAGAAAGAGACUUAUUUAUCAUCUGUUUCUCUGGUCCGAGCAAAUCGCACAUGCAUAUCAGAUAAAAAAAAUAUUGUCGCACAUAUCGGGAAUUAGUUACUGAUACGGAACAAUCAUCUGACACAUAUCUUCUCGUAGCAGUAGGACUUUCGUGCGCCUGUGACAAACGAAGCUGACAAAUUAACGUUCUGCGUGUGCGACUGUGUGUGAGAUGUGGACAUGUGGUAGUAUAGACUAUAGAGUACAGCUAAGGCUGUCACGAUUUGGUUUCUGUUCGGGCGUGCAAGGGCUACCGGCGGCUUCGACCGCCGCGACGUGCUCCUCGGCCUCGGCGGGGCGCGCGGCAGCGGCCGGCUUCCUCGAUCAAUAACGCUCUGCUAAAUUUGCUACAUUUAAUUUUGAUUUAAUUUUCCGGCCUCCUCGAUCAAUAACGCUCUGCUAAAUCUGCUACAUUUUGAGUUAUUUUUCUCAAUAAAUUUAGCUAGCUGUGUUCUAACAUGUAAGCCGUGGCUUCUUAUGGCUGCCGAGCAAAACAAGCGCUAAAGCUCUUGUAGCAGGUAGCUACGAUCAUUUUGGUUCGACAGCGUCCGAUCCCUUUUGCUUUACAUAUGUCUUUCACGCUAAAAACCAAAUUUUUUUCAAGAUUCUCUGUCACAUCGAAUCUUACGACAUAUGCAUAAAGUAUUAAAUAUAGAUGAAAACAAAAACUAAUUGCACAGUUUGUCUGUAAAUCGCAAUACAAAUCUUUUAAGACUAGUUACUUCAUGAUUGGAUAAUGUUUGUCAAAUAAAACCAAAAUACUAUAGUGUUACAAUUAAAAAUCUUUUUAGAUCUAAAUAUGGCGAUAUAUACUGCAGAUGAUCUCUCCAUCUCAACCAUGCAUUUGCGUGUAGUAGGAAGCAACAAAAAGCUAGCUGCUAUAAAUAGGCCAUGUUUGGUUAAAUGGAAGUCUAGUCUCUAUCUUAUUGAAUGUUUGAAUAUAUGUAUGAAGUAUGCUAUUUAUACGAAACUAAAAACAUAAAUUGAGACUAAUUUACAAGAUGAUUUUUUAAGACUAAUUAGUUCAUAAUUAAUGAUAGAUCCAUGAUUGCUACAAUAAAAAAGUGCUAAUGAUAAAUUAAUUAGACAUACUAAUUUCGUCUUAUAGAUUACUGACAGAAUUUGUAAUUUAUUUUCAUUAGUAUUUGAACACACCAUGAACCACAUCCGAGUCCUUACAUCCAAACACCCUAUAGAAACCUGACUCAUCUGUUCUCCGGUUAUAGGAGCUAAUCGCACUUACAGUCCAUGACUCAGCUCGCCUGUUGAUCGAUGUUUACAGCUGCUGCUUUUUCGUCGCGAAUGAUUGAACUGUUACCGAAUAUGGGAAAAAAUUAGGUAGAAACUCUGCACCAUGUCUCUGUAUAGACCCACUUUGGAUGGAAGAUACGUGUCCCAAAACUCCAAUCACACGGAGACACGAUAUAGGAGGUCUACAUCCAAGAUGCGUCUCUAUGGAGGAAUCCUGGUCUCUCCGUUGUGUGUGUGUGUGUGGUUGUGGUCAGUUUCGUGCCCGUGUGACAAACGAAGAUGACAACACUCUGCGUGUAAAUAUGGUACAGAGAGUAUAGAUAGCUAAAACCCACAUCGAAUAUUUAGAAACAUACAUGAAGUAUUAAAUAUAAAUUAUUUAUGAAACUAAAAAUACAGCUAGAGAAUAAUUUACAAGACGAUUUUUAAAUCUAAAUAGUCUAUAAUUAAACAAUAAUUACUAUAAUUACAAAUAUACUAAAGUGUGUGUAUAUAUAUAUAUAUAUAUAUAUAUAUAUAUAUAUAUAUAUAUAUAUAUAUAUAUAUAUAUAUAUAUAUAUAUAUAUAUAUAUAUAUAAAAUUUUAGUUCCUUCAACCAAACAUCCGCAUGUCACGAUUUGGUGUGUUCAGUGAAUUUGUCAAAUACGGUCCAUACUUAGGCCUUGUUUUUACUUCCCAAAAAUUUUAUGAAGUUUUUUAAAAUUAUUUCCCAUCAUAUCGAAUCUUAUGACACAUGUAUGAAAUAUUAAAUAUAGAUAAAAAAUAACUAAUUGCACAGUUUCCCUGUAAUUUACGAGACGAAUCUUUUGAACAUAGUUAGUCUAUGAUUGGACAAUAUUUGUCAAAUAUAAACAAAAUGCUACAGUGUUCAUUUUAUAAAAAUUUUGGUAACUAAACAAAGCCUUAGCUAUCUAUACAUAGGGAUAGAUCGCAGUGAGAAUGAACCGAUGAAAACCGGCUGACCUAAACUCUGAUCUCCAAGGCUGGAGGGUAAGUUCUCCACUAGUAGUUGUGUUAUAGUAGUGUUCCUCAUUCUAUUUGACCCAAAUUAAAUCGGCGGUUUAACCGAUUGGACCAAUCAAAUCCGGUUCGGUCCUAGUAACUUGGGUACAGAUAGCUACGCGGGUCUGGAGUCUAUACCAGCAGCAUGUUACGACGAUCGUCCCCCGGCCCUGCCCGUUUCGUUGCCAAGCAAGUUUGGUCGUUUUUUUUUUUUGGAACAAGUUUGGUCGGUUUAAAACAAGUGCCGUGCAUCGCAAAAUACAGCAACACUUUCUCUUGGUCUACGAGGAACUAUAUAGACGUAGCACGAGUAGUUGGCAAUGAACCAAACCUCGACACGGCACAUGCAGCAGUAGCACGUGACAAACAACCAAAUCAAACAUCCAGUCCACUAGCUAGCCGAUCAUAGUUUUUUUUUUUACGGAACCUAGCCGAUCAUAGUUCUAUAUAUACUCCUAUAUAUAGCCACUCGCUAAACCAUGGCACGCCAUCGGUCGCAGCUCACAAGCAGCGCCAUGGGGAGCGCCACCAUGCCACGAAGUUUCGCCGCGCCACGCGCGCCAUGCCGCAGCCUCCAUACGCUCAGGUGCAGGUGCAAGGCUACCGGCGGCGCCGACCGCCGCGACGUGCUCCUCGGCCUCGGCGGGGCGGCGGCGGCCGGCCUCCUCAGCUCGUCGUUGUCGAACCGCGGCGGUGCGCUCGCGGCGCCCAUCCCGGCGCCGAACCUCAGCAACUGCCAUCCACCUGACCUCCCCGACACGGUGAGCGACAUCAACUGCUGCCCGCCGGGCGCGGGGACGGCGAUCGUCGACUUCACGCCGCCGCCGACGGUCGGGCGCCGCGUGCGCCCGGCCGCGCACCUGGUGGACGAGGAGUACGUUGCCAAGUACGAGAAGGCCGUGGCGCUGAUGAAGGAACUGCCGGACGACGACCCGCGCAGCUUCACGCAGCAGUGGCGCGUGCACUGCGCCUACUGCGACGGCGCGUUCGACCAGGUCGGGUUCCCGGACCUGGAGAUCCAGAUACACAACUGCUGGCUCUUCUUCCCGUGGCACAGGUGACGACGACGGUUCCAUGCAUGCUGGCGUCAUGUGAUCUUAGCUUGCUCGUGUAUAUGCUUUAGCGAUUGAUAAUAAUUAAUUAACGUGCAACUUUUGUGAACGUCGUUGCACUGCUUAGUUAGUUUCACAAAUUGGACAACGCGUGCAGGUUGUACCUGUACUUCCACGAAAGGAUUCUUGGGAAGCUCAUCGGCGACGACAAGUUUGCGCUGCCGUUCUGGAACUGGGACGCGCCCGGCGGCAUGUCGCUGCCGGCGAUCUACGCCAACAAGUCCUCCCCGCUGUACGACGAAAGGCGUGACCCUGCUCACCAGCCGCCAUUCACGGUGGACCUCGACUACGACAGGAUCGAGCAAAACAUCCCAAGAGCUCAGCAGAUCGAUCAGAACCUGAUGAUCAUGUACCGUCAGGUCAGUGUUAGUAUAGCUAGCUAGCUGGCUGUGUCUUGUUGUACGAAAUAUUACACCCUCGAUCAGGUGUCAGGUUUGCUAGUGCGACACUGCACUAACAGUGAACACUCAGUUCUUGGACGUAACUGAACACUUGAUCUUAAAACUUUAAAAUUGAACACUUGAUGUCUGAUUAGCAUAUGGAUGAUACACAUGCAUGUCUCUACUCUACGUCAGAUGAUCUCCGGUGCCAAGAAGAAGGAACUCUUCUUUGGGCUGCCUUACCACCAGGGCGACCAGCCAGACCCAGGCGCAGGCACCGUAGAGAGCGUCCCGCACGGCCCAGUACACUUCUGGAGCGGCGACCCGAGCCAGCCGAACAACGAGGACAUGGGCAACUUCUACUCCGCCGCGCGCGAUCCACUCUUCUUCGCGCACCACGGCAACAUCGACCGCCUGUGGUCGGUCUGGAACGGCCUCCGCGCCGGCAACACCAACUUCACCGACCCCGACUGGCUGAACGCCAGCUUCCUCUUCUACGACGAGGAGGCCCGCCUCGUGCGCGUCCGCGUCCGCGACUGCCUGGACACCGCUGCCCUGGGCUACAGCUACCAGGAUGUUGCCCUGCCGUGGCUGAACGCCAGGCCGACCACGGAGACCGGUUCUCCGGUUCCCGCCGCGGGCGCGCUCCCGGCGACCCUGAACCAGACCGUGAGGGUGGCCGUGACGCGGCCCAGGACCUCGAGGACCCGCCAGGAGAAGGACGCGGAGGAGGAGGUGCUGGUCGUCGAGGGGAUCGAGGUCGCCGACCACUUCAGCAGGUUCGUCAAGUUCGACGUGUUCGUGAACGAGUGCCAGGGCGGGGGCGGCAUGGGGGCGGCGGUGGCGCAGUGCGCGGGGAGCGUGGCGAUGACGCCGCACCUGGUUCGGCCCGGGAAGGGUAGGGGCUCCGUGAAGACCGCGGCGAGGUUCGGCAUCUGCGACCUGCUCGACAACAUCGGCGCUGACGGGGACAAGACGAUCGUCGUGUCGCUCGUGCCGAGGUGCGCCGGAGACAUGGUUACUGUCGGUGGCGUCCGGAUCGAGUAUGUUAAGUGAGGUCCUUCUAUUACGUCCUACCCUCCUACGAGUACAUCUCACAAGUGCUAGGGCCUAGAGACAACUGCUCUACGACCAGGAGUAUAUAUCAGGUAUACAUGAAUAACUGUGUGAUGCUGUACGUGUAUGGACGACUCCUGUUGAACUAUAUAUGUAGGGAACUAUUUGGGAUUGUGUUUGCGUGCCGCCGUGAUUAUAUAAUAUGGGCCAAUGUCAAUGCGACAUCAAUAAUUAACAAAUAAGGGCAUUAGUGUCUGUAAUGUGUAACAGCAUGACCAUAGAGAACAGUGACUACCGUGUCGCCGGAGAAAAACUUGUAAUGCGAUCGGAGAAAGGGUGGACACCAAUGGCAGUAUGUGGGGUGUAAAGCGCCACUCAGAUUGCUCAGAAGAUGGCAGAACCGCAUGUCAAACCAGUGACCGAUGUAAUGGUGUAGAUAAAUCACGACAUACGGAACUCAUCCAUUAACCAAAUCAAGGAAAAGCUGUACACAAAUUACGACAUACAAUACUAUCCAUUAAUCAACUCAAGGAGAUGCUCUAGAGAAAUUACGACAUAUGAAAUUCAUCCAUUCUCCAAUAUACCCAUUCGAAAGUGGCCCACACGAUGUAUGUGUGUGUGCGCGCGCGCGUGAUUCCCGUGUACUCAUCCGGGGUGUUCAGUACUAUUCACCACCAAGGCCUCGGAAUAGUGUGUGUAUAUGAGAGAGAGAGAGAGAGAGAGAUGCAACAUGCAUAUUUAUUUUUUAGACAAAGAAAUUACAUGCAUGUUUAUUAAGUUGUUGUAGAAAUUAGUAAACGAAGAUGUGGUUUGAAAGGCAAGAAAUGAUGUUGAAUGGUCGUUAGAUUUUGACAUAAAGAGUAUUCACUCUAUUACAUGCAGGUCAUCUUUAUAGAGCCACACACACUGGAUGAUAAGCUUAGGGUCCUGUUGCAAAAGUAGAAUACUGAAUAAUUAAGAUGCUGUGGAAACGACAGUCAUGGAUAUCUUUACCGGCCAUGCAUGGAUGAAAGUCAUCCGAUAGAGAUUUAUCACUUACUAUUCCGUUUGAGCCUAUUCCACCCAAACUUUAAUAAUAAAUGAUUUUGGAGGAUACGUUCGAACUUUGAUAAUGUAUGGCUUAUUAAGUAAUUCCCCGUCCAUUUUUAUACAUCGUUCUCACUCCUCAAACGUGUACCUAACUUUUACUAAAUAUAUAUUAAAAUAUUAAUAUUUAUAAUACAUAAUUAGUACCACUAGAUAGAUCUUUAAUUUAUUUUUACAAAAAAUUUAUUUAAAAAUACAAAUAUUUGCUAAUAUUUUAUAUUAAUCUAGUUAAGAUUAAAAAAAGUUUAACUAACACUCAUCUCAUAUAUAGCGACACAGACUAAGGGAUAGAGGGAAUAUUCCGUAUACAUCCUAUUCAAAGGACGACAUAAGCCUGUUUAAAUAAGUCAAAAUAAACCAAUGUGUUUUUUUAAAGGAAAAUAUAGUUGCACGCACCAACUUCAACUUGUGUGAGCACAUCUACAGUACCUCUUGCAGCAACAGCUCUUGUUUUUUUUUUUUUUGAAGGAAACAGCUCUUGCUUUAGUAGAAGCGAAUUCCCUUUUUCCCUUCUUCGAUCUGAAAAGAGACUUAUCAUCUGUUCUCUGGUCCAGGCAAAUCGCACAUAUCAGAAAAAGUGGUUUUUGCCACUUACCAAGUCCGAUCGAUGUUUACAGUAGGACUUUCGUGUGCUGCUGCUAGUACGUAGGUUCUCCUUUUUUCGUCGGAAAUAAUUAGUUACUCAUACGGAAUAAUGUGAACCGUCAUCUGCUCAUCACCAUCGUGGUUAUAGCAGUAGGACUUUCGUGCGCGUGUGACAAAAACGAAGCUGACAAACGUUCUGCGUGUGUGUCAGAUCGAUGUGGUAUAUAGCUAAGGCUAUCAGGAUAUAUUUGGUGUGUGGUACGAGUUCGAUCGGGCGCAUAUAGCUUGUCUAUACCAGCAGCAUGGUACACGAUCAUCGGCCCCCAGCCCGUUUCGUUAAUUACAGCGCAAGUUUUGUUCGGUUUAAAGUAUGCAUGUGCCGUGCGUGCAUCGCAAAAUUACAGUCACACACGACAAAGCAUAUGUAUAGACGUAUAGCACGUACUCCACCUGGCAACGAACCAAUCCUCGACACUUACGACACAUGUACGUAGAGUAGCACGUAACAAAACAAGCUAGUAGACCACAUGGUACGGCACAUCCAGCCCUAGCUAGUCGAUCAAUCACAUGUCCACACGUUCUGUAUAUUGCUUCUCGCGCUAAACUAUGGCAUUGGGCAAAAAAAACUUUUACCGAAUAAGACUCUGCCGAGACCCUUUUACCGAGUGUAAAUAUAUAUGGCUUUACCGAAACACUUGGCAAAGCAACUGGCUGCCGUAACAGGCCGGCCGAUCACAUGUCAUGCAACUCACAGGUUCACACUUCGUUCACAGCAGGUUCAUCACUGAGCAGCAGCUAGCGCCAUGGAGAGCAUCAUGUACUCAUGCCACGAGGUUUCGCCGCUCGUCGCGCGCCAUGCAUACCAUACUGUACGUACGUAGCCUCCAGACGCUCAGGAUGCAACGCUCUACCGGCGGUGCCCGACCGCCGCGACGUGCUCCUCGGCCUCGGUGUGGAGCGGCAGCUAGCGGCCGGCCUCCUCGAUCAAUAACGUCUUGCUAAAUUUGCUACAUUUUGAGUUUUCUCGUCAAUAAAUUUGGCUAGCUGUUCUAACCUUUAAGCCGUGGCAUCUUAUGACUGCCAAGCAAAACAAGCGCUAAAGCUCUUGUAGCAGGUAGCUACAAUCGUUUUGGUUCGACAGCCUCCAAUCCCUUUUGCUACUUAUAUAUGUACACCCUGCACUGCAAAUGCAUAUAUGAUCUCUUCAUCUCAACCAUUAAGAUAGGAACCUCUCAUCUGUACAUUCUUCUUCUUCCUCCGGUACGAGCUAACCGCACGUACAGAUCAGGAAAAUUAAAGGUAGGGUUCACCCAUCUGUCCGUGAUUCUCGCAUCUAGAUAGUUUAUCUGCGCUCACAAAUUGUUGCGUGUGUGUAAUUAGAUUCGGUUGAUAGAUAAGCAUGUCACGAUCUCGUGUACUUGUAUUCCGGUGAACUUUGCGUCAAACUGCAGCACCCAGGCCCAUAUAUACGUACUACUCAACCAGCAUGUCACGACCGGCUCCCUUUCGUUACCAAGUUUCCUUCGGUUUAAAAGCAUACAUAUAUAUGCACCGUUCUUUCAUUACUUUCUCCAGCUCCUGGAGGAGAAGACACGACCCAUAGCAUCACUUGCGUAUAACAAACUGUCAAACAACCAAACAGGCACGCAUCAGCAGUGAGAUACUCAGGUCAUAUGUACCCAUGAUGCCGUCUCGCAAAAAAAAUGUACCGAUGAUGUCAUAAUACUACAUCUAGAUAUAUAUACUCCCUCUACUCUAACUUGUAAGUAUUUUUCUAGCUUUUUUAAAUAUAUAAUUUUUGUUAUGCGGACGAGCCAAUAGCUCGGUUGGUAAAGCAUCCCCAUUGUGCAAUGAUGUAGGUCAGGAGUUCGACUCCCCACCUCCAUAUACGCAGGUUUGCUAGUUGUAAAUAAAAUUUUUCGUUUGUCCCAUGUCAAAGCACAGGUCUAAGGUUAGCCCUAGUCUUACGUGUGUUGCGGUACCGCUACGUAUGGGUAGGGCAGAGGUUCAAGUUUUUCUUGACCUAUAUGAAAAAAGUCUUCUUCUUAAUCACAAUGUCUGACCUACACACAAAGAUCCUAAGCACAGUGCCCCCGGUGUUGACACUCAAAAGUGUCCCAACAUGAAAUAUGGGCAUAACCAACACGUUUCUGACAUCCCAGAGGUGUUGGAAAUAGUUGGUGAAGUAAUCAAACAAAAAAGGAAGAAAGUGGCGUCUGCCUUGGCAGAGCCGACUUGGCUGACUUUGCAUAGUCGAUAAAACUAGUUCUUCAUGCCCCAAUUCGCUUAGCCGACUCCUAAGUCGGCUAAGCCGACUUUCCUCUAUGUCGGCCAAGCCACAAUGCUCAAACCUCGUGAAAAUCGGCUCAGCCGACUCCCAAGUCGGCUAAAGCCGGCUUUCAUUGGUAUUCCGAGUCAGUUUGGUUUCCGAAACAGUUUUGGACCCAUUUUAAACAGGGAAUUUGGAGAAUGUGUUUUGGAAUUGUUUCCUAGUAAGAUAAAACCACGCCGUCUCUAUAUACGAAAGGAUCAUGGUCGAUUAAGGAUCCCAACUUACAAUCAUCAAAAUACAUCUAUUACAGGCCUUUUACCCUCUUUUCUCCCUAUUCGUCAGUUCGUCACGUCUCCUAGCGAGAUUUAAUGGCGUUCGAGGCACCCUUGCUAGUCUUAGGAAACCCUCCGUGUGCUCCUCCUCGACGGAUCUUCCCAAGAGAUGCUCAAAAUUCUAACAGGUGAAAAACAGGCUCGACAUUGGCCUAACCGAUCUCUAGAUUGGUGUCUCGGUUCGCUGCAUUCUUGCUGUGAUCAAGGUCAUGUGUUUACCGUAGAUAUGCUAACCGUAGCUGGUGUGCGAUCCGAAACACUAUCCAACAUCAUUGCACCAACACCCAGGGGCCGUCGUAAUCCCUGCAGGUCGAGCUUUUUUUUGAGGGGGAGGGGGAGAGGGGAUGGACUUAGAUAUAUAUAUAUAUAUAUAUAUAUAUAUAUAUAUAUAUAUAUAUAUAUAUAUAUAUAUAUAUAUAUAUAUAUAUAUAUAUAUAUAUAUAUAAGUUAAAACAAGUUAUAAUUAGAAGGAAGGGAUAUAAAAAACUAUUCAAUCAUCUGUUCUGGUCGUCAGAGCUAAUCGCACUUACCAGUCCAUGACUCGCCUGUCAAACGACGAUGUUUAUAGCUGCUGCUUUUUUCGUCGGGAUUAAUGAACUGAUAGCGAAUGUGAACUGUGUGAUCUCCAUCCUACGGGGGUUAGCAGUAGCACUUACGUGCGCGUGUGACAAACGAAGCUGACAGCAUUCUGCGUGUGAGAUGUGGUACAGAUAGAGAGUAUAUAACUCUAAGCAUGUCACGAUUUAGUGUGUUCGGUGAAUUUUGCGUCAAAUUAAACGACCCAUACUUAGCUAUCAACAUUCUGCGUGUGAGAUGUGAUACAUAGAGUUAGAUAGCUACAGUACGUAAUUUUCUCUUGGUCUACGAGGAACUAUAUAUAUAGACGUACGUAGCACGCAUAGUUUUUUGAAACGAUUUUUUGUUUUUUUGAAACACGAGUAGCACGCAUAGUUGGCAACGAACCAAACAUCGACACGACACAUGUAGCAGUAGCACGUAAUAAACAGCCAAAUGAAACAUCAGUCUAGUAGCCGAUCAUAGCUCACACGUUCUAUAUAUAGCCACUCGAUCGGUAAACCAUGGCACGGCACCGAUCGCAGCUCACAAAGUUCACACACUUCACAGCACGCUCACCACUGAGCAGCACCUAGCGCCAUGUUGAGCGCCACCAUGCCACGAGGUUUCGCCGCGCUUCGCGCGCCGCCAUGCUGCAGCCUCCAGACGACGCUGAGGUGCAAGGCUACCGGCGGCGCCGACCGCCGUGACGUGCUCCUCGGCCUCGGCGGCGCGGCAGCGGCCGGCCUCCUCACGUCGUCGUCCAGCCGCGGCGGUGCGAUCGCGGCGCCGAUCCAGGCGCCGGACCUCCGGGACUGCCACCCGCCCGACCUCCCCGACACGGUGGGCGACGUCAACUGCUGCCCGCCGGGCGCGGGGACGGCGAUCGUCGACUUCACGCUGCCGCCGGCGGUCGGGCUCCGCGUUCGCCCGGCCGCGCACCUGGUGGACGAGGAGUACCUGGCCAAGUACGAGAAGGCCGUGGCGCUGAUGAAGGAACUGCCGGACGACGACCCGCGCAGCUUCGCGCAGCAGUGGCGCGUGCACUGCGCCAACUGCGACGGCGCGUUCGACCAGGUCGGGUUCCCGGACCUGGAGAUCCAGAUACACAACUGCUGGCUCUUCUUCCCGUGGCACAGGUGACGACGACGGAUCCAUGCAUGCUGGCGUACGUGUAGGGUGUCACAUGUGAACUAAGGCUCGUGUAUGCUUUAGCGAUUAAUAAUUAAUUAACGUGCAACUUUUGUUCUGAAGUUCAACGUCUAUUGCACUGCUUAAUUAGUUCUCUUUCACAAAUUGGACAACGCGUGCAGGUUCUACCUGUACUUCCACGAAAGGAUUCUUGGGAAGCUCAUCGGCGACGACAAGUUUGCACUGCCGUUCUGGAACUGGGACGCGCCCGGCGGCAUGUCGAUGCCGGCGAUCUACGCCAACAAGACCUCCCCGCUGUACGACGAAAGGCGUGACCCUGCUCACCAGCCGCCAUUCACGCUGGACCUCGACUACGACGGGACCGAGCCAACCAUACCAAGACAUCAGCAGAUCGAUCAGAACCUAAUGAUUAUGUACCGUCAGGUCAGUGUUAGUAUAGUCUUGUUGUACGCAAUAUUACAACCUCAGUUCUUGGAAGACCGCACUAACAUUGAACACUCAGUUCUUCGACGUAAUUGAACACUUCAUCACUGAUUAGCAUACGGAUGGAUACACAUGUAUGUCUCUUAUAUACGCCAGAUGAUCUCCGGUGCCAAGAAGAAGGAGCUCUUCUUUGGGCUUCCUUACCACCAGGGCGACCAGCCAGACCCCGGCGCAGGCAGCGUCGAGCUCAUCCCGCACAACACAGUACACUUCUGGAGCGGCGAUCCGAGGCAGCCCAACGGAGAGGACAUGGGCAACUUCUACUCCGCCGCGCGCGAUCCGCUCUUCUUCGCGCACCACGGCAACAUCGACCGCCUGUGGUCGGUCUGGAACGGCCUCCGCGCCGGCAACACCAACUUCACCGACCCCGACUGGCUGAACGCCAGCUUCCUUUUCUACGACGAGGAGGCCCGCCUCGUGCGCGUCCGCGUCCGCGACUGCCUCGACACGGCCGCCCUGGGAUACACCUACCAGGACGUCGCCCUGCCGUGGCUGAACGCCAAGCCGACCACGGAGACCGGGUCUCCGGCGCCCGCCGCGGGCGCGCUCCCGGCGACCCUGAACCGGACCGUGAGGGUGGCCGUGACGCGGCCCAGGACCUCGAGGACCCGCCAGGAGAAGGACGCGGAGGAGGAGGUGCUGGUCGUCGAGGGGAUCGAGGUCGCCGACCACUUCAGCAGGUUCGUCAAGUUCGACUUGUUCGUGAA